CUAUCAAUAGGUUUAGAAAUAAUUGGUCUAAGAAGCUCGAGGAUGCACUGUGGGCUUGUAGAACUGCCUAUAAGAAUACCAUGGGCAUGUCUCCGUACAAAAUGGUAUACGGUAAAGCAUGUCAUUUACCUCUUGAGCUAGAGCAUAAGGCUUAUUGGGCAAUCAAAGAGCUCAACUUUGAUUUCAAACUUGCUGGUGAGAAGAGGUUAUUUGACAUUAGCUCACUUGAUGAAUGGAGGACACACACAUAUGAAAAUGCCAAGUUGUUCAAAGAAAAGGUUAAGAGGUGGCAUGAUAAAAGGAUACAGAAACGUGAGUUCAAUGUAGGUGAUUAUGUCUUGCUAUAUAAUUCUCGUUUAAGAAUUUUUGCAGGCAAGCUUCUCUCUAAAUGGGAAGGUCCUUACAUUGUUGAAGAAGUAUAUCGUUCCGGUGCCAUCAAGAUCAAUACCACGGAAGGCAAUUUUCCGAGAGUGGUAAAUGGGCAGAGAAUCAAGCAUUAUAUCUCAGGUACCCCCAUAAAUGUUGAAAGCGAUAUUAUCAAUACCAUAACUCCGGAGGAGUACCUAAGGGAUAUUUAUCAGCCUAUUUCAGACUCCGAAAGCGAAGAGGUAUGUGAUUCGGUAAGUAAACAAACUCCAAAACUUUUCCAGUAGGAAUUUUUCUCUGUUUUGGAAUUUUUGAAAAAAUAGAAAAAUUUGAAGCAGUCCGGAAAGCGCACGAGGAGGCGACAACCCCGCCAGGUGCGGGCCACCCCCCUCGCCGCGCCUGGGGGGCUUGUGACCACUUCGUGUGCCUCCCGGACUCCAUUUUCUUGCGUAGUACUCCUUCUGGUCAGAAAAAAAUCAUUAUAUAUUCUCCCGAAAGGUCUGACCCUCGUAUCACGCAAAUUUCCUGUGUCUUCGUUUCGGGCGUGUUUUCCGCCGCAGAUUUAGAGCAAGUAUGUCGUUUGAGGAAUCUGUCGGGGAGAACAAUUUCCCUCGAGUCUAUGAAGAAGUAGAUGCUGAUCUAAAAAGAGUGGAAGUCACGGAAGCUAAGGGCAAAACUAAGGAGAAGAAUCAGGCGUGGGACGAAGUGGAAUCUGUGUUCAACAAGGAAGAACUUGAAGAAGUGGAUUUCCUUCAACCCUACCUCCACCUACUGUCUCCAUCCUUGAUUGAACUCUUGAGGUUUUGUGAAACAACUCGUGUUCGUAAUACUUAUCUCACUCGUGAAGUUGUUUUGCUGGAGAAACAUAUCACAGAGAUCCAAGGUAUAAAUCAAAGAUUGAUGGCCCUCUUGGAAUCAAAGGACAAAACAACUCCAUCACCAUCACCUCCAAAGGAAGACAACUAAGCAUGGGUAUGGGCAAUCCCCUUGGCUUGUGCCAAACUUGGGGGAGUUGCCCCGGUAUCAUAUCACCAUCACAUCUUUUGCCUUUACCUUUUCUUAGUUCGUUCCUUUUUGGUUUUAUCUUUCUCUAGUAGAAUAAAGGUCUUAGUGUUUUAGGCUUGAGUUUUGCUUUGUGUCACCCCCGAUGUAUUCAAGCUCGUGAGCCAUAUAAUAAAGAGUGUUUUAGUUUAGGGCCUUGUUUCAUGCCAUGAUCAAGAGAAUGAUAAAAGAACAAAAGCAUGAAAGAUCAUGUAAUGAUCUUAUGGGAAUGUUGAUUGAAACUUGUUGAGGGUAGACAAACGUAGACCUUGGUCAUUGUUGCAAUUAAUAGGAAGUAAUAAGGAAAGAGAGGUUCACAUAUAAAUAUAUCAUCUAUGACACCAUCUAUGCUUGUGAACACUCACUAAACUAUUGCAUGCUUAGAAGUAGAUGUUGGACAUGGAAGACAACAUAAUGAAUUGUGUCUGCUUGGUUCCGAACAAUGUUAUAUGAUUAGAGAUCCCUUAGCAUGUGAUGAUUGCUUCCACCUCAUAUUAGCCAAAACUUCCGCACUAAGUAGAGAUACUACUUGUGCAUCCAUAAACUUUCAACCCUUGUUUUGCCAUGAGAGUCCACCAUACCUACCUAUGGAUUGAAUAAGAUCCCUCGAGUAAGUUGUCAUCGGUGCAAGCAAUAAAAAUUGCUCCCUAAUAUGUAUGAUCUAUUAGUAUGUGGAAAAUAAGCUUUGUACGAACCUGUGAUGAGGAAGACAUAAAAGCGACAGACUGCAUAAUAAAGUUCUUUAUCACAGGAGGCAAUAUAAAGUGACGUUCCUUCACACUAAGAGGACACACAUCCAUAUCUCAAAAGCGCAUGACAACCUCUGCUUCCCUCUGCGAAGGGCCUAUCUUGUACCUUUACUUUUUGCCCCUGAAAGAGUCAUGGUGGUCUACGCCAAUUCCUUAUUUUGCCUUUAUCUUGGUAACGUCAUAAGCUAGGGAAAGAUCUAUAUUAAUAUGUCAACUUGGAAGUAAGUAUUCAUGAUUUAUUAUUGUUGACAUUACCCUUGAGGUAAAUAGUUGGGAGGCGAAACUAUAAGCCCCUAUCUUUCUCUGUGUCCAACUGAAACUUUGAUCUCAUGAGUACCACGUGAGUUAUAGCAAUUGUAGAAAAUGAAAAGAUGAUUGAGUAUGUGGAUUUGCUUUACAAGCUCUUAUUUGACUCUUUCCGAUGUUGUGAUAAAUUGCAAUUGCUUCAAUGACUAAAGGCUAUCGGUUGUUAAUUCUCGGUAAGUCUCUUGACCCAUACUUUACCUUGUGAAGGAAUUGUCACUUUAGCAUAAGAGUUCAUAUGAUGGUAUUGCUGCUAUGACUAUGAUCAUGAUGCCUGCAUGUUCGUAUCUUGUUUUGUCGACACCUCUCUCUCUAAACAUGUGGGCAUAUUUAUUGAUCUUGGUUUUCGCUUGAGGACAAGCGAGGUCUAAGCUUGGGGGAGUUGAUACGUCCAUUUUGCAUCAUGCUUUCAUGUUGAUAUUAAUCGCUUUUUGGGCUGUUAUUACACUUCACGAUAGAAUAAUUAUGCCUUUUCUCUCUUAUUUUGCAAGGUUUACAUGAAGAGGGAGAAUGCCGGCAGCUGGAAUUCUGGCCUGAAAAAGGAGCAAGUUUAAGAUACCUAUUAUGCGCAACUCCAAAAGACGUGAAAAUCAACGAAGAUAUAUUUUGGAAUUUAUAAAAAAUACUGGGCCGAAGAAGUGAUAGAGGGGCGCCAGCAGGAGGCCACAAGCCUGCUAGGCGCGGCCUACCCCCAUGGCUGCGCCUAGGGGGCUUGUGGGCUGCCAGCUGGCCCUCUGCCCCCCUCUUUUGCUACAAGAAGGGUUUCGUUCCAGAAAAAAUCAAGAGGAGGCUUUUCGGAGGAUUCGCCGCCGCCACGAGGCGGAACUUGAGCAGAACCAAUCUAGAGCUCCGUCCGGACGAUCCUGCCAGGGAAACUUCCCUCCCGGAGGGGGAAAUCGUCGCCAUCGUCAUCACCAACACUCCGCUCAUCGGAGGGGACUCAUCACCAUCAACAUCUUCAUCAGCACCAUCUCAUCUCCAAACCCUAGUUCAUCUCUUGUAACCAAUCUCCGUCUCGCGACUCCGAUUAGUACUUGUAAGGUUGCUAGUAGUGUUUAUUACUCUUUUUUGUUGAUGCUAGUUGGAUUACUUGGUGGAAGAUUAUAUGUUCAGAUCUUUGAUGCUACUCAUUAUCUCUCUAGUCAUGAAUAUGAUUAUGCUUUGUGAGUAGUCACUUUUGUUCCUGAGGACAUGGGAUAAGUCAUGCUAUAAGUAGUCAUGUGAAUUUGGUAUUCGUUCAAUAUUUUUAUGUGUUGUAUGUUGUUUUUCCUCUAGUGGUGUUAUGUGAACGUCGAAUACAUAACACUUGACCAUUAUUUGGGCCUAGAGGAAGGCAUUGGGAAGUAGUAAGUAGAUGAUGGGUUGCUAGCGUGACAGAAGCUUAAACCCUAGUUUAUGCGUUGCUUCGUAAGGGGCUGAUUUGGAUCCACUAGUUUAAUGCUAAGGUUAGAGUUUGUCUUAAUUCUUAUUUCGUAGUUGCGUAUGCUUGCGAGAGGGGUUAAUCAUAAGUGGGAUUCUUGUCCAAGUAAGGGUAGUACCCAAGCGUCGGUCCACCCACAUAUCAAACUAUCAAAGUAGUGAACGCGAAUCAUAUGAACAUGAUGAAAAUUAGCUUGACAGAAUUUCCCAUGUGUCCUCGGGAGCACUUUACCUCCUAUAAGAGUUUGUCCAGGCUUGUCCCUUGCUACAAAAGGGAUUAGUCCACUUUGCUGCACCGUUGUUACUUUUGUUACUUGCUACUUGCUACGAAUCAUCUUAUCACACAGCCACUUGUUACCGAUAAUUUCAGUGCUUGCAGAUAUUACCUUGCUGAAAACCACUUGUCAGAUCCUUUCCUCCUCGUUGGGUUCGACACCCUUACAUAUCAAAAGGACUACGAUAGAUCCCCUAUACUUGUGGGUCAUCAAUGAUCUACUCCGGUAGGGCUUCGCCUAAGCUCCGGAGAAAUACGAUCUAGAGGAAAAACUCCGUGGUAUAGGGUCGAGCAACACGUGGAAAAGUUGUGUCUCAAAAACCAUCAAUACCUCUACUACAUAUAGGAGGGAGGGAGGGGAGGAGGCAGCCUCAAACCCUCAAGGUUUGGCCGAAAUUGGAGUUGGAGGAGUCCUAUUCCAAUCCUACUUGGAGUAGGAUUCCACCUUCCCACUUGGAAACUCUUUCCACCUUGUGUUCUUUCCUUCUCAAACCUUAUGGGCCUUAGUGGGAACUUAUUCCAGCUCACUAGGGGCUGGUUUAUCUCUUCCCAUAUCCCAUGAGACCCCUUGGGCGUGACACCCCUCCCGAUGGUCCCCGGCACUCCUCCCGACACUCCUGGUACACUACCGAUGAGCCCGAAACUUUUCCGGUGAACAAAACAGGACUUCCUAUAUAUCAAUCUUUACCUCCGGGCAUUCCGGAGCUCCUCGUGACAUCCUGGAUCUCAUCUGGGACUCCGAACAACUUUCAGUUACCAACACCUAUAACUCAACUAUACCGAAACGUCACCGAACCUUAAGUGUGCAGACCCCGCGGGUUCGAGAACUAUGUAGACAUGACCCGAGACAGUCCUCGGUCAAUAUCCAAUAGCGGGACCUGGAUGCCCAUAUUGGAUCCUACAUAUUCUCCGAAGAUCUUAUCGGUUGAACCUCAGUGUCAAGGAUUCAUAUAAUCCCGUAUGUCCUUCGGUAUGUUACUUGCCCGAGAUUUGAUCGUCGGUAUCCGCAUACCUAUUUCAAUCUCGUUAUCGGCAAGUCUCUUUACUUGUUCCGUAAUACAUAAUCCCGUGACUUAUACUUAGUCACAUUGCUUUCAAGGCUUGUGUGUGAUGUUGUAUUACCGAGUGGGCCCCGAGAUACCUCUCCGUCACACUGAGUGACAAAUCCCAGUCUUGAUCCAUACUAACUCAACGGACACCUUCAGAGAUACCUGUAGAGCACCUUUAUAGUCACCCAGUUAUGUUGCGACGUUUGAUGCACACAAGGUAUUCCUCCGGUUCCAGUGAGUUAUAAGAUCUCAUGGUCAUAGGAACAAAUACUUGACAUGCAGAAAACAAUAGCAAUAAAACGACAUGAUCAAUAUGCUACGUUCAUAGUUUGGGUCUUGUCCAUCACAUGAUUCUCCUAAUGAUGUGAUCCCGUUAUGAAGUGACAAAACUUGCCUAUGGCCAGGAAACCUUGACCAUCUUUGAUCAACGAACUAGUUAACGAGAGGCUCACUAGGGACAGUGUGUUGUCUAUGUAUCCACACAUGUAUUUGAGUUUCCAAUCAGUACAAUUCUAGCAUGGAUAAUAAAUGAUUAUUAUGAACACGGAAAAUAUAAUAAUAACUAAUUUCUUAUUGCCUCUAGGGCAUAUUUCCAACAAUCUCCCACUUGCACUAGAGUCAAUAAUCUAGUUCACAUCACCAUGUGAUUUUAACGAAUCCAACAACCAUAUAGUUCUCGGGUCUGAUCACGUCUUGCUCGUGAGAGAGGUUUUAGUCAACGGUUCUGAAACUUUCAGAUCCGUGUGUGCUUUACAAAUCUUUAUGUCAUCUUAUAGAUGCUGCUACAACGUGCUAUUCGGAAAUACUCCAAAUAUCUACUCUACUAUACGAAUCCGUUUUACUACUCAUAGUUACUCGGAUUAGUGUCAAAGCUUGCAUCGACAUAAUCCUUUACGACGAACUCUUCAACCACCUCCAUAAUUGAGAAAAAUUCCUUAGUCUAUUAGUUACUAAGGAUAACUUUGAUCGAUGUUUAGUGAUUCAAUCCUGGAUCACUCUCUGUACCUCUUAACAGACUUGUGCCAAGGCACACAUCAGGUGCGGUACACAUCAUGGCAUACUAUAGAGUCCAUGUCUAAGGCAUAAGGGACGACCUUCGUCCUUUCUGUUUCUUCUGCCGUGGUCCGGCUUUUGAGUCUUAGACAUAUUCACACCUUACAACACAGCCAAGAACUCCUUCUUUGUUGAUAUAUUUUGAACUCCCUCAAAAACUUGUCAAGGCAUGCAUUUCAUUUGAAAGUUCUGUUUAGCAUUUUUGAUCUAUCUCCAUAGAUCUUGAUGCUCAAUGUUUAAGUAGCUCUAUUCAGGUCUUCCUUUGAAAACCCCCUUUCAAACAACCUUUAUGCUUUACAGAAAUUCUACAUUACUUUCGACCAACAAUAUGUCAAUCACAUAUACUUAUCAGAAAUUCUAUAGUGCUCCCACUCACUUCUUUGGAAAUACAAGUUUCUCAUAAACCUUGCACAAACCCAAAAGCUUUGAUCAUCUCAUCAAAGCGUAUAUUCCAAUUCCGAGAUGCUUGCACCAGUCCAUAAAAGGAUCGCUGGAGCUUGCAUACUUGUUAGUAUCCUUAGGAUCGACAAAACCUUCUGGUUGUAUCACAUACAACCUUUCCUCAAGGAAACUGUCAAGGAAACAAUGUUUUGACAUCCUAUGUGCAAUAUUUCAUAAAUAAUGCAACAACUACUAACAUAAUUCCAAUAGACUUUUAGCAUCGCUAUGAGUGAGAAAGUCUCAUCAUAGUCAACUCUUUGAUCUUGUCGAAAAUAUCUUUGCGACAAGUCGAGCCUUUUUUAAUGGUGAAUUUUCACCAUCAUCGUCUGUAUUCCUUUCAAAGAUCCAUAUUUACUUAAUAGUCCUACAACCAUCAAGUAGUUCUCCCAAAGUCUACACUUUGUUUUCAUUCAUGGAUCCUCUCUCGGAUUUCAUGGCCUCCAACCAUUUGUCGGAAUCUGGGCCCACCAUCGCUUCUCCAUAGCUCGUAGGUUCAUUGUUGUUCAACAACAUGACCUCCAAGACAGGGUUACCGUACCACUCUGCAGUAGUAUGCGACCUUGUCGACCUACGAGGUUUGUAGUAACUUGAUCCGAAGCUCAAUGAUCACCAUCAUUAGUUUCUACUUCCAUUGGUAUAGGCGCCACAGGAACAUUUUUCUGCACCCUGCUACACACUGGUUGAAGUGACGGUUCACUAACCUCAUCAAGUUCCACCACCCUCCCACUCAAUUGUUUCAAGAGAAACCUUUCCUCGAGAAAGGACCCGUUUCUAGCAACAAAUACUUUGCUUCUAGAUCUGAGAUAGGAGAUGUACCCAAUUGUUUUGGAUAUCCUAUGAAGAUGCAUUUAUCUGCUUUGGGUUCGAGCUUAUCAAAUUGAAACUUUUUUGCAUAAGCGUCGCAGCCCCAAACUUUUAAGAAACGACAGCUCAGGUUUCUCCAAACCAUAGUCUAUACUGUGUCAUCUCAACGGAAAUACGCGGUGCCCAAUUUAAAGUGAAUGCGGUUGUCUCUAAUGCAUAACCCAUAAACGAUAAUGGUAAUUCGAUAAGAGACAUCAUAAUAUGUACCAUAUAAAAAUAGGGCGUAGCUAUGACGUUCGGACACACCAUCACACUAUGGUGUUCUAGGUGGCAUGAAUUGCAAAACAAUUUCCACAUUGUCUUAAGUGCGUACCAAAACUCGUAACUCAGAUAUUCAUCUCUAUGAUCAUAUCGUAGACAGUUUAUCCUCUUGUCACGACGAUAUUCACUCUGAAAUAGCUUUGAACUUUUCAAUAUUUCAGACUUGUGAUUCAUCAAGUAAAUACUCCUGUAUCUACUCAAAUCGUCAGUGAAGUAAGAACAUAACGACAUCCACUGCGUGCCUCAUCACUCAUUGGAUUGCACAGAUUAAAAAUGUAUCACUCCCAACAAGUUACUCUCUUGUUUCAUGUGGCAUGAUUUGCAUGUCUCAAGUGAUUCAAAAUCAAGUGAGUCCAAACGAUCCAUUUCUAUGGAGCUUCUAAAUGCAUUUAUACCAACAGGUAUGGUUUGCAUGUCUCAAACGUUUCAAAAAUGAGUGAGUACAAAGAUCCAUCAGCAUGGACUUCUUCAUGCAUUUUAUACCAACAUGACUCAAGUAGUAGUGCCACAACUAAGUGGUACUAUCAUUAUUACUUUGUAUCUUUGGCACCAAUAUUAUGAACAUGUGUAACACUAUGAUUGAGAUACACUAAGUGGUAAUUAUUCAAGCAAAUAAAAUAACUUUUAUUCUCUUUAAAUGAAUAAUCGUAUUGCAAUAAACAUGAUCCAAUCAUGUUCAUGCUCAACGCAAAUACCAAAAAAAUAAUUAUUUAGCUUUUACCACCAAUCCGGAUGAUAGAGGGAACGUGCGAUGUUUGAUCACAUCAACCUUGGAAACACUUCAAACACUUAUCGUCACCUCGCCUUUAGCUAGUCUCCGUUUAUACCAUAGCUAUUAUUUCGAGUUACUAAUCACUUAGCAACCGAACUGGUAUCCAAUACCCUCGUGCUACUCGAAGUACUAGUAAAGUACACAUCAAUAUCAUGUGUAUAAAAUAUACUUCUGUUGACUUUUCCAGCCUCCUUAUCUACCAAGUAUGUAGGGUAGCUCUGCCUUAGUGAUCGUUCCCCUCAUAACAGAAGCACUUAGUCUCGGGUUUGGGUUCAAUCUUGGGUUUCUUCAUUAGAGCAGCAACUGGUUUGCUGUUUCAUGAAGUAUCCCUUCUAACCCUUGCCCUUUUAGAAACUAGGGGUUUUACUAACCAUCAAAAAUUGAUGCUCCUUCUUGAUUUCUACUUUCGCAGUGUCAAACAUUGCGAAUCACUCAAGGAUCAUCAUAUCUAUCCUUUAUAUGUUGUAGUUCAUCACGAAGCUUUAGCAGCUUAGUGGCAGUGACUUUGGAGAACUAUCACUACCUCAUCUGGAAGAUCAACUCCCACUUGAUUCAAGCGAUUGUUGUACUCAGACAACCUGAGAACAUGCUCAACAAUUGAGUUUUUCUCUUUUACUUUGUAGACAAAGAAUCUUGUGAGAGGUCUCACACCUCUCAACAAGGGCACGAGUAUGAAAUCUCAGUUUCAUCUCCUAGAACAUCUCUUAUGUUCCCCGACGUUUCAAAACGUCUUCGACGCCUUGCUUCUAAGCCAUUAAGUAUUACACACUGAACUAUCACGUAGUCAUCAAAACGUGUAUGUCAGAUGUUCGCAACAUCCACAGACGACGCUCGAGGUGCAGCACACCGAGUGGUGCAUUAAGGACAUAAGACUUCUGUGUAGCAAUGAGGACAAUCCUCAGUUUUACAGACUCAGUCCGCAAAGUUGCUACUAUCAACUUUCAACUAAAUUUUCUCUAGGAACAUAUAAAAACAGUAGAGCUAUAGUGCAAGCUACAUCAUAAUUUGCAAAGACCAUUAGACUAUGUUCAUGAUAAUUAGUUCAACUAAUCAUAGUACUUAAGAACUCCCACUCAAAAAGUACAUAUCUCUAGUCAUUUGAGUGGUACAUGAUCCAAAUCCACUAACUCAAGUCCGAUCAUCACGUGAGUUGAGAAUAGUUUCAGUGGUAAGCAUCUCUAUGCUAAUCAUAUCAACUAUACAAUUCAUGCUCGACCUUUUGAUCUCUUGUGUUCUGAGGCCAUGUCUGCACAUGCUAGGCUCGUCAAGUUUAACCCGAGUGUUCCGCGUGUGCAACUGUUUUGCACCCGGUGUAUGUGAACGUUGAGUCUAUCACACCCGAUCAUCACGUGGUGUCUCGAAACGACGAACUGUCGCAACGGUGCACAGUCGGGGAGAAUACAAUUUUGUCUUGAAAUUUUAGUGAGAGAUCACCUUAUAAUGCUACUGUUGUUCUAACCAAAAUAAGGUGCAUAAAAUGAUUAACAUCACAAUUCAUAAGUGACAUGAUAUGGCCAUCAUCAUGUGCUUCUUGAUCUCCAUCACCAAAGCACAUACACAAUCUUCUUGUCACCGGCGCCACACCAUGAUCUCCAUCAUCAUGAUAUCCAUCAACGUGUCGCCGUCGGGGUUGUCGUGCUACUUAUGCUAUUACUACUAAAGCUACGUCCUAGCAAUAUAGUAAACGCAUCUGCAAACACAAACGUUAGUUUAAAGACAACCCUAUGGCUCCUGUCGGUUGUCGUACCAUCGACGUGCAAGUCGAUAUUAACUACUACAACAUGAUCAUCUCAUACAUCCAAUAUAUCACAUCACGUCAUUGGCCAUAUCAUAUCACAAGCAUACCCUGCAAAAACAAGUUAGACGUCCUCUAAUUUGUUGUUGCAUGUUUUACGUGGCUGCUAUGGGUAUCUAGUAGAUCGCAUCUUACUUACGCAAAAACCACAACGGAGAUGUGCAAAUUGCUAUUUAACCUCUCCAAGGACUGCCUCAGUCAAAACCAAUUCAACUAAAGUUGAAGAAACUUACACCCGCCAAUCAUCUUUAUGCAACGAGGUUGCAUCUCAACCGAUGAAACCAGUCUUUCGCAAGCGUACGAAUAAUGUCGGUCCGGGCCGCUUCAAUCUAACAAUACCGCCGAAUCGAGAGAAGACUAAGGAGGGCAGCAAAUCGAACAUCACCAUCCACAAAACCCUUUGUGUUCUACUCGAGAUAACAUCUACGCAUGAACCUAGCUCUGAUACCACUGUUGGGGAACAUUGCAUGGGAAACAAAAAAUUUCCUACGCACACGAAGACCUAUCAUGGUGAUGUCCAUCUACAAGAGGAGAUUUGGAUCUACGUACCUGUCGGGACCCCGAUCCUAAGCCAUAGGAAUCCAGCCUGUCACACAUCGCAUCCCUUUGUGGUCUCACGCACGGUUAACUCCACGGCUGCAACCUUACCUUAGCCGGGACCGUUUACGCCUUUUGACUCACGUAUGCAAUUGUGUCGCUAGCAUUCCAAUGUCAAAGAACCCGGAUCGACAAGUCUAGUCAUAAACCAAAGUGGCAGUACCGCACAAUUACAGGCAUACAUGACCCAACAAAGCAGGUGUCGGUCACCAGCGAGUGUAGACGAGUCUUAGCAAGCUACAAGGACUCCAUUACAUCGCGUGACAUUUCCCCAAAGAGGACAGACACAUCAGCUAAGAAGGACACAUGCCAGUCAACCAAUGUGUCCAGAGCAGUAGCGAGCUACCAUGGCUCGUUGGAUCACAAAGGGGCAUUUCCCUGUAAGGAGUGCUACUAAAGUUCACGGCUAGGUAAUCGAACCCCAUACAUAUCAAGUACGACACACGUACGCAUGGCAUACCGAUAUGUAUAGAUACAUCGAUGGCAUCACAACAUAACCAUAAACAUACAAGCUUUAUUUAAGAGGCUCGGAAGAGCCACACACAUAAUAUUACACAGUAAGUGUCUCACGACCCAUAAUAGUAGUCAUUCAGUUACAAGCCAGCGGAAGUGUUUAAAACUGUCUGAGUACAGACAUGUGCAACUAGAAGGCACAUGGUCUGACUAUACUAUAGACCCAACCUAGGGCCAGAUCGUAGCUGGGACACCAGCUACUCGUCGUCGUCGAUGUCUAUGAAGAACCCUCCAUUAGGGUCAUUAGCAACCUCUGCAACAUUUAAGAAGCAAACAUGAGUACGGAGGUACUCAGCAAGACUUUAGGAUAACUAACUACUCAUGCAAUGUAUCAAUAAGGUAUGGUGGGGUUUCAUGAGGAAAGCCAACAUUUGACUCGUGGCUAGACAACUUGCAUUUUUAAAUAAUUUUGACAACUUGAUUUCUCGCACACGAGUCAACUAACACCGCAACAAUACACCAUCGUGGAAUCAUUCUGUCUCCAUACGGAAAUGCCAUCCGCGACACUCACGCUUGUCUUGAUAAUUUUAUGAGUAGACACUUAAGUUAUCUAUGAACAACAUAUGUCUCCAAGUAGUCCAUAUCCGCGGCCGCGGCUAUUCGAAUAGAUCAUAACCCUGCAGGGGUGUACUUCGUCACACACGCUCUCUCCACUUAUCGCCAUGUGCACUUCAUGCACCUCGGCAACCUUCAAGCGGAAGCCCAGCGAGGGAGUCGGCCACGACCGUUAACCACACUAGUACCUAGUCCAGGUCUAUCGCCUAUCUGAGGGUAACCCGCACGAAAGUCCGGCCGAGGUUUCCGCCACGGCCCCAAACGAUGUGCGCAGGGUUCCCAAGCCCACCAUCCGGGUGCCACUUGGUACACCGUGCCACUGCCUACCGCAACACAACCCACCUCUCAGGUCAGCACCAUGCACGGCCUCCAGCAUGACUAUAAACACCAGAAACUACUUGCAACUCCUGGACCGAGUACUAAGCGAUUAAUAAUUUGAGCGGGGUCAUAUUUCAGGGCCCAGCAUGUGGUAGUAUCUCGUCUUGGAUUACAUAUACGGAACUCAGUUCCUAAGGACGGUUCCAAUGAAACAACCCGCCAUGUACUCCUACACAGCCUUUCACCGGUACCUUUACCAAAUCAGGUUCAACACACAACCUUUGCUUACCGAACACAUUCUCACAAUUCUGUUCAUCUCCCAGAUGACAGACCAUACACAACUCUAAGCAUAGCAUGCAUAGAAGGAUAAGGCACAUCAUGGCUCAAGCAACUACCAGGUAUGCUAGGUUGCAAGGUUCAGCUAUUUACUAUGACAAGGAUAGGUCAUGCAAAGGAAGUGGGUUCAACUAACGUGGCAAAAGCAUUUGAAGCAUUUGAUCCUAAUGCAAUAAGUAAGUGCAGGAGCAAGGACAUGGGAUUUAUCGGGAUGAUCAAAAAUGGUUGCUUGCUUUGUUGCUCAGAGGAGUGACAAUAUCCGUCAGACGGAUAUUCGGUGGAAUCCAGGGGAGUGGAGCCUACCGAAAGGAAUGACAACAAUCAAUAACAAACAUAUGCAAUCAAGAUGAUGCAUGAGCAUGGCAUGAGAGUGAAAGAUGGUAUACUAUUAUAGCUAAUAUGUAUUAGGUUUGAAGUUGAUUUGAAUCAAAUUCAAAUAUCACUUCAAACGAGGUAUUCUCGGAUACCAUUUUAAUUGAUUCAACCUGAUGCUCAGAUCAACUUGCUUUUAACAUGCAUGGGAUGACAUUUUAGGUUGCUGGUUUGUAAUUAGGACAGUGUUUGAUCAUGUCAUUUAUAGUGAAAUUUAAAUAUUUUCCAAAUUCCACCUACAAAGUAUUUAUAAGAAUUAACUUAUUCAUUAAUCUACAUGUUUGGGUUCUGUAACAUUUUCAAACAUGUUUGAAAAUGACAUAUUCAGAUUCCUUGAUUUUUUUGAUACUUUUUCAUAUAUAAAUUAUUUUCAUUGGAGUUACAGAUUAAUUUCUAUGAAUUUUAGAAGUUUUGGCAUUUUUCUGGAAUUUUUUUAAAUCAGAAAACUCUUUAUUGCAUCAGCAUGACAUCAGCAGGUCCAACUGGCCGUUGAAAGUCAAACCUGACCAGUGGGACCACUGGUCAGUGACUCUGGUCUGUUUUAGAUUAGAAUUAAUCUUAAUUAGCUAAAUUACCUCUCUGGACCCACAUGUCAGUGACUUAUCAAAUUAAUUAAAUUUAUUUUUGGUAAUCCUAAACUCCGAGAGGCUGGCCCCACGCGUCAGUGGCUCAGGCCAGCUGAGAUCCUCCGGCGGCGAGGUCGUCCUCACCGGUGGGGAGCCUCCGGCGACCACCAGAACGGCGGAGGGGCUCGGAAACGGUGCACAGGGGGGCCAAACUCUGCGCGGAGAGCACCAGAGGAACGACACGUCUCCCGCGGGUUCAUUUUUGCACUUAGCCGGGGCUGAUCUGGCCGGAGAUGAUGCCGGUGACAAGCUUGGCGGCGGCCAAAGUUCGGGCGUCAUUGGGGUCAUCGAAACAGAGGGAGCUACGCACGGAACUCAGCUCCUACGGCAUCUCCGCGAUGGCCUGAAGCUGCUGGUGGCCUAAGAAGGACGAGCUGAUCACCGGAGGGCUACCGGCGACGAGCUCCCGCGGUGGAUCUCGUCGGGCUCCGGUGAAAUCAUGGCUAGAGGAAGGAAUCGAAGGGGGAAACUUGGGGAAGAGUUGCGCAAGCUCACGGGGAAUGCAGUGGUGGCGCUAGCUUGCUCGGGGAUGGCCUGGAGAGGAAGAACGCCGGCGACGAACUUCGGUGACCCGAGGAAGAAGACGACUGCGUCUCGUCGUUUCACUGCGUCUCGGCGCCGGGCUUGUGGCUAGAAAGCUUCAGGGAGUUGUGGCGGACCUAUUGCGCGGCUCAGGAGGGAGAAGGGUAGGCUAGAAUGACGGCGAGCUCGAGCUCUGCUCGGGCUCCAAUGGCGGCAGAAAGAAACGAGGCAGAGGGGGAGAAUGAGGAGAGGAUGAGCUCGGGCACGCCUCGGGAGGGUUAUCCCCUCGCGUGCCAGCACAGAGCGGCGGCCAGGCAGGCGCACAGGUGCGUGGCCGCGCCGGAGUACGCGGCGGCCACCUCCUGCUGCCCACUGGCGGGGGAGGAAGACGACAGGAAGAAGCUGGGCCGGGCCAGGUGAGCGACACGUAAGACUUUUCUCAUUUUCUUUCUGUUUUGUUUCUGUUUUAAUUACUGACAUUGAUUACUAUUUAUUUCAGCUCCCAAAUAGUUUGUAAAAACUAUUUUGAACACACCAGAAUAUUUGUUGGAAUAUAUCCAACCAUUCCUGGAGUUUCCAAUAUUUUUGAAAACUUAAAGUUUCUGAUUUCAAAUUUUAAACUUGAAAACAAUAGCUUUUUUGCAUUUAUUUAAAAUGCUUAAAGUAUCAUGAAAGUGGUUUUCUUCAUUGCUUAUUUACUUCCAAGAUUUAUCAGUAAGAUUGAACUUUUCUUGAGGCCAUUUUGGGUUCAUUGAUUUUAACUAGUUUGAAAUUUCCUUUCAUUUGAGAAGUGGCUAGGGUUUGUUGAAUUUUCCUUCACCACUUACUUUGUUCUUGUUGAAAAUUUCCUAGAUGCAAUGCAAAGAAAACAUGAGCACAAGGCUAACUUGAUUAAGGUGUCAGGGAUGUGACAGUACCCUUGUAGAUCGCACAGCAGGAAGCGUUAAGAAACGCGGUUGAUGUAGUGGAAUGUCUUCACGUCCCUCGAACCGCCCCACGAACCGUCCCACGAACCGUCUCGCGAUCCGUCCCACGAUCCGUCCCGCGAUCCGUCCAACGAACCGUCUCACGAACCGUCUUGCGAUCCAUCUUCAUGAUCCGUUCCGGUUUAGUGCCGAACGGACGACACCUCCACGUUCAGCACACGUACAUCUCGAUCACGAUCUCCACCUUCUUGAUAUAGGGUCGAUUAGCACGUGGCAAAGUUGUGUCUCAAAAACCCUCAAUACCUCUAGUAUAUAUAGGAGGGAGGGAGGGGAGGAGGCAGCCUCAAACCCUCAAGGUUUGGCCGAAAUUGGAGGUGGAGGAGUCCUACUCCAAUCCUACUUGGAGUAGGAUUCCACCUUCCCACUUGGAAACUCUUUCCACCUAGUGGUUUUUCCUUCUCAAACCUUAUGGGCCUUAGUGGGAACUUAUUCCAGCCCACUAGGGGCUGGUUUAUCUCUUCCCAUAGCCCAUGAGACCCCUUGGGGCGUGACACCCCUCCCGAUGGUCCUCGGCACCCCUCCCAGCACUCCUGGUACAUUACCGAUGAGCCUGAAACUUUUCCGGUGACCAAAACAGGACUUCCUAUAUAUAUCAAUCUUUACCUCCGGACCAUUCCGGAGCUCCUCGUGAUGUCCUGGAUCUCAUGUAGGACUCCAAACAACUUUCGGUUACCAACACCUAUAACUCAACUAUAUCGAAACGUCAUCGAACCUUAAGUGUGCAGACCCUGCGGGUUCGAGAACUAUGUAGACAUGACCCGAGACACUCCUCGGUCUAUAUCCAAUAGCGGGACCUGGAUUCCCAUAUUGUAUCCUACAUAUUCUCCGAAGAUCUUAUCAGUUGAACCUCAGUGUCAAGGAUUCAUAUAACCCCGUAUGUCAUUCCCUUUGUCCUUUGGUAUGUUACAUGCAGGAGAUUUGAUCGUCGGUAUCCACAUGCCUAUUUCAAUCUCGUUAUCGACAAGUCUCUUUACUCGUUUCGUAAUACAAGAUCCCGUGACUUACACUUAGUCACAUUGUCUGCAAGGCUUGUGUGUGAUGUUGUAUUACCGAGUGGGCCCCGAGAUACCUCUCCGUCACACGAAGUGACAAAUCCCAGUCUUGAUCCAUACUAACUCAACGGACACCUUCGGAGAUACAUGUAGAGCACCUUUAUAGUCACCCAGUUACAUUGCGACAUUUGAUGAACACAAGGUAUUCCUCCGGUGCCAGUGAGUUAUAUGAUCUCAUGGUCAUAGGAACAAAUACUUGACAUGCAGAAAACAAUAGCAAUAAAACGACACGAUCAAUAUGCUACGUUCAUAGUUUGGGUCUUGUCCAUCACAUGGUUCUCCUAAUGAUGUGAUCCCGUUAUCCAGUGACAACACUUGCCUAUGGCCAGGAAACCUUGACCAUCUUUGAUCAACGAACUAGUCAACUAGAGGCUCACUAGGGACAGUGUGUUGUCUAUGUAUCCACACAUGUAUUUGAGUUUGCAAUCAAUACAAUUCUAGCAUGGAUAGUAAACAAUUAUUAUGAACAAGGAAAUAUAAUAAUAACUAAUUUAUUAUUGCCUCUAGGGCAUAUUUCCAACAAAUUGUUUAUUUUCCAUGUUAGAAUUGUAUUUAUUGGAAACUCAGAUACAUGUGUGGAUACAUAGACCACACACAGUCCCUAGUAAAUCUCUAGUAGACUAGAUCGUUGAUCAAAGAUGGUCAAGGUUUCCUGGCCAUAGACAAUUGUUGUCACUUGAUAACAAGAUCACAUCAUUAGGAGAAUGAUGUGACGGACAAGACCAAAUUAUGAACGUAGCAUAUGAUCGUGUCAGUUUAUUGCUACUGUUUUCUGCAUGUCAAGUAACUGUUCCUAUGACCAUGAGAUUAUGUAACUCACUAACACCGGAGGAAUACCUUGUGUGUACCAAACAUCGCAAUGUUACUGGGUGACUAUAAAGUUGUUGGCGAACAUAGCAUAAAUUCAAAAUUUUCCUACGCCAUAUUCAGAUCUUCCAAUGGAGAGACCAGCAACGAGAGAGGGGUGAGUGCAUCUUCAUACCGUUGAAGAUCACUAAGCGGAAGCAUUGCUAGAACGCGGUUGAUGGAGUCGUACUCGCGGCGAUUCACAUCGCGGUGUGACUCCGAUCUAGUGCCGAACCACGGCACCUCCGUGUGCAACACAAGUGCAGCGCGGUGACGUCUCCCGCACCUUAAUCCAGCAAGGACGAGGGGGAGAUGUUGGGGAAGAUCUCCGGCAGCACGAAGGCAUGGUGUCGAUGGAGAGACGAGGUCUCCCGGUAGGGCUUCGCCAAGCACUGUGGGAGAGGAGGAAGGAGGGGAGCAGGGCUGCGCCGAGGGAGAGGGCAAACUGUGUGGAAAACAGCCCCAAAACCCUCUCUAUAUAUAGGAGGAGGGGAGGGGGGGUGUGCCACCCCUAGGGUUCCCACCCAAGGUGGUGUGGAAGCCCCCCCAGAUGGGAGGUGCGGUGGCCAGGUCAGGGAGAGGGGGUGGCGCACCCAUAGGUGGGCCUUAGGCCCACCAGCGCCUAGGGUUUGCCCCAUCUCCACCUCCUGCGCCUUGAGCCUCUAUGUGGAGGUGCACCAGCCUACUUUGGGCUGGUUGCCCUCUACCUAUUGGCCCACGCUACCUCUUGGGGCUGGUGGCCCCUCCCGGUGGACCCCCGGAACCAUUUCCGGUGGUCCCUGUACACUACCGGUGACGCCCGAAACAUUUCCGGUGUCCAAACCCAUCCAUCCUAUAUAUCAAUCUUUACCUCCGGACCAUUCCGGAGCUCCUCGUGACGUCCGGGAUCUCAUCCGGGACUCUGAACAUUAUUCGGUAACCUUGUAUAACAAUGCCCUAUAACCCUAGCGUCAUCGAACCUUAAGUGUGUAGACCCUACGGGUUCGGGAAGCAUGCACACAUGACCGAGACACUCUCCGACCAGUAACCAUCAGUGGGAUUUGGAUACCCAUGGUGGCUCCCACAUGUUCCACGAUGAUCUCAUCGGAUGAACCAUGAUGUCAAGGAUUCAAUCAAUCCCGUAUACAAUUCCCUUUGUCUAUCGGUAUAGAACUUGCCCGAGAUUCGAUCGUCGGUAUGCCUAUACCUUCUUCAAUCUCGUUACCGUUAAGUCUCUUUACUCGUUCCGUAGCACGUCAUCCUAUGACUAACUCCUUAGUCACAUUGAGCUCAUGAUGAUGUUUUACCGAGUGGGCCCAGAGAUACCUCUCCGUCACACGGAGUGACAAAUCCCGAUCUCGAUUCAUACCAACCCAACAGACACUUUCGGAGGUACCCGUAGUGCACCUUUAUAGUCAUCCAGUUACGUUGUGACGUUUGAUACACCCAAAGAACUCCUACGGUAUCCAGAGUUGCACAAUCUCACGGUCGAAGGAAAAGACACUUGAUAUUAGAAAAGCUUUAGCAUACAAACAAUACGAUCUAGUGCUAUGCUUAGGAUUGGGUCUUGUCCAUCACAUCAUUCUCCCAAUGAUGUGAUCCCGUUAUCAAUGACAUCUAAUGCCCAUGAUCAGGAAACCAUGAUCAUCUAUUGAUUAACGAGCUAGCCAACUAGAGGCUUGCUAGGGACACAUUGUGAUCUAUUUAUUCACACAUGUAUUACUGUUUCCUGUUAAUACAAUUAUAGCAUGAACAAUAGACGAUUAUUGUGAACAAGGAAAUAUGAUAAUAACCAUUUUAUUAUUGCCUCUAGGGCAUAUUUCCAACAGUCUCCCACUUGCACUAGAGUCAAUACUCUAGUUACAUUGUGAUGUAUCGAACACCCAUAGCAUUAUGGGGUUGAUCAUGUUUUGCUCGAGGAAGAGGUUUAGUCAACGGGUCUGCAACAUUCAGAUCCGUGUGUACUUUACAAAUAUCUAUUACUCGACUCUGUACAUGGUCCUGGAUGGAGUUGUCGCGGCGUUUGAUGUGCUUGGUCUUCCAGUGAAACCUGGGCUCCUUGCAUAUGGGAAUGGCCCCAAUGUUAUCACAGAAGAGCGUCAUUGGACCCGACGCGCUUGGAACCACUCCAAGGUCGGUGAUGAGCUCCUUCAUCCAAAUUCCUUCAUGAGCCGCUUCUGAAGCAGCUAUGUACUCCGCUUCACAUGUAGAUGUUGCCAUGACUUCUUGCUUGCUGCUGCACCAGCUCACUGCCCCACCAUUCAAAACAUACACGUAUCCGGUCUAUGACUUAGAGUCAUUUGGAUCUGUGUCGAAGCUAGCAUUGACGUAACCCUUUACGAUGAGCUCUUCGUCACCUCCAUAAAUGAGAAACAUCUCCUUAGUCCUCUUCAGGUACUUAAGGACAUUCUUGACCGCUGUCUAGUGUUCCAUACCGGGAUCACUUGGUUACCUCCCUGCCAAACUUAUGGCAAGGUUUAUAUCAGGUCUGGUACAUAGCAUGGCAUACAUUAGAGAGCCUACGGCUGAAGCGUAGGGGACAGUACGCAUCUUCUCUCUAUCUGCUGUCGUGGUCGGUGACUGAGUCUUACUCAAUCUCAUACCUUGCAAAACUGGCAAGAACCCCUUCUUUGAGUUUUCCAUAUUGAACUUCUUCAAUAUCUUGUCAAGGUAUGUACUUUGCGAAAAAGCAAUGAGGCGUCUCGAUCUAUCUCUAUAGAUCUUGAUGCCUAAUAUGUAUGUAGCUUCUCCAAGGUCCUUCAUCGAAAAACUCUUGUUCAAAUAGGCAUUUAUGCUCUCCAACAUCUCUAUAUUAUUCCCCAUCAAUAAUAUGUCAUCCCCAUACAGUAUGAGGAAAGCUACAGAGCUCCCACUCACUUUCUUGUACAGACAUGCUUCUCCAUAAACCUGUAUGAACCCAAACGAUUUAAUCACCUCAUUAAAGCGAAUGUUCCAACUCCGAGAUAAUUGCACCAGCCCAUAGAUGGAGCACUGGAGCUCGCACACUUUGUUAGCACCCUUAGGGUCGAAAAACCAUCUGGUUGCAUGCUACUGCAACAAAAUACCUUCCAACGGCGCCAGAAAUAGGCGUGUUGACGGGAGACUAUUCUUGUCUUGAUACUCCUCGGCAACGGCGCCAGGAAUCCUUCUGCUACGGCUACGCCUUUAGGGACUUCCUUGGAAAAUAUGCAAAGGAUUCCCCCGUGGCCUUGGAGCCUUGCGUUGGUGUUCCCUCGAAGCGGAAAGGGUGAUGUAGCACAGCGGUGGUAAGUAUUUCCCUCGGUUUGGAGAACCAAGGUAUCGAUCCAGUGGGAGGAUCAUGUCAAGUCACAAGUACCUGCACAAACACAAAGAGCUUGCACCCAACGCUAUGAAGGGGUUGUAAAUCCCUUAUAGAUUGUUUGCAACGUCAGAACUGAAAGCAAAAAGUAAACAAAGCAAAGUAAAAGUGAAAGUGGAGACGAUAGUUGUGAAUAGACCCGGGGGCCGUAGUGUUCACUAGUGGCUUCUCUCAUGAAAGCAAGUAGACGGUGGGUGAACGAAUUACUGUCGAACAAUUGAUAGAACCGUGCAAAGUCGGGAUGUUAUCUAAGGCAAUGAUUAUAUCUAUAGCAUCACGUCCAAAACAAGCAGACCGAUACUUUCUGCAUCUACUACUAUUACUCCACACGUUGACUGCUUUCCAGCAUGCAUCUAGUGUAUUAUGUUCAUAAGAACAGAGUAACGCCUUAAGCAAGAUGACAUGAUGUAGAUGGACAAUCUCAUAUGUAUGAUAAAUGCCCAUCUUGUUACCCUUGAUGGAAACAACACGAUGCGUGCCUUGCUGCCCCUUCUGUCACUGGUAAAGGUCACCACACGGUAUGAACCCAAAACCAAGCACUUCUCCCAUUGCAAGAAUCAUAGAUCUAGUUGGCCAAACAAAACCCAAGACUCGGAGAGAAUUACAAGGAUAUCAAAUCAUGCAUAUAAUAAAUCAGCAAAGACCCAAACAUAAUUCAAAGAUAAUCUGAUCACAAAUCCACAAUUCAUCGGAAUUCGACAAACACACCGCCAAAGAAGAUUACAUCAGAUAGAUCUCCAUGAAGAUCAUGGAGAACUUUGUAUUGAAGAUCCAAGAGAGAGAAGAAGCCAUCCAGCUACUAACUACGGACCCGUAGGUCUGAAGUAGACUACUCACGAGUCAUUGGAGAGACGAUGAUGUUGAUGUAGACGCCCUCCAACUCCAAAGUCCCCUCCGGCAGGGCACCGAGAAGGGUCUCCAGAUGAGAUCUUGCAGAAACGGAAGCUUGCGGCGGCGGAAAAGUGUUUUCAUGGAUGCCCUGAUUUUUUCUGGAAUUUUAGGGAAUUUAUAGGCCAAAGAGCUAGGGCAGGGGAGCGCCAGGGAGGCCACAAGCCUGGUAGCCGCCGCCCCCUGGUGGCGGCUACAGGGCUUGUGGGCCCCUUGUGGCUCUUCUGCCUUGGCCCUCAAGUCCCCCGAUCUUCUUCUGUUCCGGAAAAAUUUAUUUUGGGGAUUUUAUUCCAUUUGGACUCCGUUCCAAAAUCAGAUCUGAAAAGAGUCAAAAAUACAGAAAAAACAGGAAUUGGCACUUGGCACUGAAUUAUUAAGUUAGUCCCAAAAAAGAUAUACAAGGUACAUAAAACAUCCAAAGUUGACAAGAUAACAACAUGAAACCAUUAAAAAUUAUAGAUACGUUUGAGACAUAUCAAGCAUCCCCAAGCUUAACUCCUUCUCGUGCUCGAGUAGGGAAGUGAUAAAGAAUGAAUUUUUGAUGCUUUAUGCUACCUAGCAUAGAUGUCCUUUGUAACUCCUCUUAUGUGACGUGAAUGUUCAGAUCCAUUAGAUUCAAAACAAUAGUUUGCUAUUGAUGUGGAGACAAUAAUAAUUCAAGCAAACUAGCAAGGUAAUCAUGAACUUUCAAAAUAACAAGGCCAAAAUAAAGUUAUCCCUACAAAAUCAUAUAGUCUGGCUAUGCUCUAUCAUCCUUGCACAACGAAUUUAAAUCAUGCACAACCCCGAUAUUGGCCAAGUAAUUUUUUCACACUUGUACUUUCUCAAACCUUUUCAACUCUCACGCAAUACAUGAGCGUGAGCCAUGGUUUUAGCACUAUAAGUGGAAUGGAGUGUGGUGGAGGUUGCAAGACAAACAAGGAUAAGAUGUUCACAUUAACUAGGCAUAUCAAUGAGCUGUGGAGAUGCUCAUCAAUAGAUAUCAAUGUGAAUGAGCAGGGAUUGCCAUACAAAUGAUGCACUAGAGCUAAGAGUAUGUGAAAGCUCUUAAAGAAAACUAGUGGGUGUGCAUCCAACUUGCUUGCUCACGAAGACCUAAGGCAAAUUUGAGGAAGCCUAUCAUUGGAAUAUACAAGCCAAGUUAUAUAAUGAAAAUUUCCCACUAGCUAUAUGGUGGUGAAAAAACGAGAGACUCUCGAUCAUGAAAAUCAUGGUGCUUAAUGAGCACAAGUGUGGAAGGAUAGUAGCAAUGUCCGUUCUCUCUUUUUCUCUCUUUUUUUGGUGGGCUCUUUGGCCUCUUUUUUUUUGUUGGGCAUCUUUGGCCUCUUUUUGUAAAUGGGCUUCGAUGGCCUCUUUUAUUUACUCACAUGGGAGAAUGCUCCAUCAAUGAUGAUCAUCACACUUACAACUCAAAACUUAGAGCAAUGAUGACUCUAUAUGGAAUGCCUUCGGUAGUGUACCGUGAUAGUGAUCUAGCAUGGCAUAGACAUCAAUGGAAACAUCAUGCUAGCUAUCUUACAAUCAUGCAAUGGCAAUUUAGAAGUGGUGGCACAUGUCAUGGUGGUAGUUGCAUGGCAAUAUAUCUAGGAAUGACUUUAAAAAAAGCCAUAGUAGGUAGGUAUGGUGGCUGUUUUGAGGGAGGCUAAUGGUGGGUUUUGUGCACCGGCGAAAGUUGCGCGGCACUAAGAAGAUAGUGAUGGUGGAAGGUGAAAGUGCAUCUAAACCAUGGACUCAAUAUUAGUCAUGAAGAACUCAUAUACUUGUUGCAAAAGUUUUAGUAGUAAUCGAAACAAAGCAUUCAACGCAUACUCCUAGGGGAAGGGUUGGUAGGUAUAAACCAUCGCACGAUCCCGACCGCCACACAAAGGAUGACAAUCAAUAGACUAAUCAUGCUCAGACUUCAUCACAUUGAGGUUCACCAUACGUGCAUGCUACGGGAAUCACUAACUUCAACACAAGUAUUUCUAGAUCCAGAACACCAUACUAACAUAACUUCAAUAUUACCACAACCACAACUCAAAACUAAUUGAGAUGAAUCAAACUUCUCUAACUACUCAAUGCACAUGAAGGUGGAAGUUUUCAUAUCCCUUUGGAUAACUACCCCUUUUGGGACUACUUUCAUAGCAUAGGUCAACUACCAAGACACGCGCUUCCAUGCUCUAAAAGAUAUAAGUGAAGCACAUAGAGCAAAAUCAACUAGCUCAAAAGAUAUAAGUGAAGCACAUGUGAGCUGAAUUGUCUAAGCAAAGGAUAUAAGUGAAGCUCGAGAAAAUCACGGUGAGUGCAUGUCUCUCUCUCUCUAGGUGUGCAGCAAGGAAGAUUGUGACACAACAAAAAUAAAAGACUCCUACGAUACAAGACGCUCCAAGCAAAACACAUAACAUGUGGUGAAUAAAAAUAUCGCCCCAAGUAACGUUACCGAUGGAUUGAAGACGAAAGAGGGGAUGCCUUCCCGGGGCAUCCCCAAACUUAGGAUUUUACGGUAUCCUUGAAUAAACUUGGGGUGCCUUGGGCAUCCCCAAGCUUGAGCUCUUGCCACUCUUUAUCUCUUUGUCCAUAAGAACUUGACCCAAAACUUGAAAACUUCACAACACGAAACUUAAACAAAAACUCGUGAUAUCAUUAGUAUAAUAAAGCAAACCACCACUUCCUUAGGUACUAUAGCAAACUUAAAUUCUACUUAUGUUGAUGUUGGGUUACUGUAUUUUCAAUCUUCCAUGGCUAAUACCCCCCGAUACUAUCCAUAGUUUCAUCAAAAUAAGCUACCAACUCAACAAAAACAGAAUCUGUUAACAGCAGACCAGUCUGUAGCAAUAUGUAUACUUCGUAUACUUCUAUUAUUUCCAAAGUUCUAAAAAAUUACGACAGUCUGAAGAAUUUGCGUAGCAAUCAGCUGCAAAAAGAAUCAACUCAAAAUCUCUUACAGAACAAAAAUGAAAAUUCUUUUCGUGAGCAGAAAGUUUCUGUCUUUUCCAGCAUGACCAAACGAUCAUCCCCAAGACUAAUCAUAACGGUUUUACUUGGCACAAAUGCAAAAGAAACACAAAAAACACAAUCAUAACAGAAUUAUGGAAGUGUGGAAAACACAAAACGGAAAGAAAAAUGAUAGAUUCGUUGGGUUGCCUCCCAACAAGCGCUAUUGUUUAACGCCCUUAGCUAGGCAUUGAUAAUUCAAUGAUGCUCAGACAAAAGACAAGAAUUGAAGCACAACGAGAGCAUCAUAAAGCAUGUGAAAAUCACAUCUAAGUAUAACAUACUUCCUAUGCAUAGGCAUUUUAUAGGAAAACAGAUUGUCAAGACAACCAAUAGUUACCAUAUGCAAGGAAGAAGAAAGAGACAAGAGCAAUCUCAACAUAACGAGAGGUGAUUUAGUGAUAUGAAAGUUUCUACCACCAUAUUUUCCUAUCUCAUAAUAAUUACAUGGGGGAUCAUAUUCGAAUUCAACAAUGUAACUAUCACAUAGGAUAUUCUUUUCAUGAUCCACAUGCAUGCGAAGUCGACGCUCUUCAAAAAUAGUGGGAUUAUCAUCAACUAAAGUGAUGACUUCUCCAAACCCACUUUCAAUAAUAUUGCAAAUAUCAUAUUCAUCAUGAGGCUUAAACAAUUUUUCAAGAUCAUAAGAAAAAUCAUUGCCCCACUCAUGAUCAUUGCAACAAGUAAUGGACAUAGCAAAACUAGCAUCUCAAAGCUUAGGGUUUUGCACACUUUUAGCAUGAUUGACACUAAUAGAAUUUAUAGUGAAACCAUUGCAAUCAUGCUUUUCAUCCAAGGAGCCCUCAUGAAUCACUUCAUAAAUUUCUUCCUCACAAUUUUCAGAUUCACGCAUCUCAAGCAAAACUCCAUAAAGAUAGUCAAGUGCACUCAAGUCACUAGCAAUUGGAUCAACAUAAUUGGAUCUCUUAUAGAGAUUAGCAAGUGGAUGAGGAUCCAUAUCACUAGAUUUUCAGCAAGCGAAGAUGAAAGCAUAUUGAAGGCACAUGGAAGACAAGCGAACAGAAAGCAAGCGAGAAAAAGGGCGAACGAAAAGGAAAACGAAAAAGGCAAAUGUGAAGUGGGGGAGAGGAAAACGAGAGGCAACUGGCAAAAAAGGCAAAUGCAAGAUAUGAGUUUGUGACACAUACUUGGAUAGAUCUUGACUUGAUCUCUUCUUCCCCGGCAACGGCGCCAGAAAUACUUCUGCUACUACAACAAAAGAACUUCCAACGGCGCCAAAAAUAGGCGUGUUCAUGAGAGACUAUUCUUGUCUUGAUACUCCUCGGCAACGGCGCCAGGAAUCCUUCUGCUACGGCUACGCCUUUAGGGACUUCCUUGGCAAAUAUGCAAAGGAUUCCUCUGUGGCCUUGGAGCCUUGCGUUGGUGUUCCCUCGAAGCGGAACGGGUGAUGUAGCACAGCGGUGGUAAGUAUUUCCCUCAGUUUUGAGAACCAAGGUAUCGAUCCAGUGGGAGGAUCGCGUCAAGUCACAAGUACCUGCAUAAACACAAAGAGCAUGCACCCAAUGCUAUGAAGGGGUUGUCAAUCCCUUAUAGAUUGUUUGCAAAGUGAGAACUGAAAGCAAAAAGUAAACAAAGCAAAGUAAAAGUGAAAGUGGAGAUGAUAGUUGUGAAUAGACCCGGGGGCCGUAGUGUUCACUAGUGGCUUCUCUCAUGAAAGCAAGUGGACGGUGGGUGAACGAAUUACUGUCGAGCAAUUGAUAGAACCGCGCAAAGUCGUGACGUUAUCUAAGGCAAUGACUAUAUCUAUAGGCAUCACGUCCAAAACAAGUAGAUCGAUACUUUCUGCAUCUACUACUAUUACCCCACACGUCGACCGCUAUCCAGCAUGCAUCUAGUGUAUUAAGUUCAUAAGAACAGAGUAACGCCUUAAGCAAGAUGACAUGAUGUAGAUGGACAAUCUCAUAUCUAUGAUAAAAGCCCAUCUUUUUACCCUUGAUGGAAACAAAACGAUGCGUGCCUUGCUGCCCCUUCUGUCACUGGGAAAGGUCACCACACGGUAUGAACCCAAAACCAAGCACUUCUCCCAUUGCAAGAAACAUAGAUCUAGUUGGCCAAACAAAACCCAAGACUCGGAGAGACUUACAAGGAUAUCAAAUCAUGCAUAUAAGAAAUCAGCAAAGACUCAAAUAUAAUUCAUAGAUAAUCUGAUCACAAAUCCACACUUCAUCGGAUCUCGACAAACACACCGCCAAAGAAGAUUACACCGGAUAGAUCUCCAUGAAGAUCAUGGAGAACUUUGUAUUGAAGAUCGAAGAGAGAGAAGAAGCCAUCUAGCUACUAACUACGGACCCAUAGGUCUGAAGUGGACUACUCACUAGUCAUUGGAGAGGCGAUGAUGUUGAUGUAGAAGCCCUCCAACUCCAAAGUCCCCUCCGGUAGGGCACCAGGAAGGGUCUCCAGAUAUAUCUCGCAGAAACGGAAGCUUGCGGCGGCGGAAAAGUGUUUUCGUGGAUGCCCUGAUUUUUUCUGGGAUUUUAGGGAAUUUAUAGGCCAAAGAACUAGGGCAGGGGAGCGCCAGGGAGGCCACAUGCCUGGUAGCCGCCGCCCCCUGGUGCCGGCUAUAGGGCUUGUGGGACCCCUAUGGCUCUUCUGCCUUGGCCCUCAAGUCCCCCGAUCUUCUUCAGUUCUGGAAAAAUUUAUUUCGGGGAUUUUAUUCUGUUUGGACUCCGUUCCAAAAUCAGAUCUGAAAAGAGUAAAAAAUACAGAAAAAACAGGAACUGGCACUUGGCACUGAAUUAAUAAGUUAGUCCCAAAAGAGAUAUAAAAGGAACAUAAAACAUCCAAAGUUGACAAGAUAACAUCAUGAAACUAUCAAAAAUUGUACAUACGUUUGAGACGUAUCAUUGCAUCAUAUACAACUCUUCCUUAAGAUUCCCGUUAAGGAACGCUGUUUUGACGUCCAUUUGCCAAAUUUCAUAAUCAUGAAAAGCGGCAAUUGCUAACAUGAUUCGGACUGACUUCAGCUUCGCUACGGGAGAGAAAGUCUCUUCGUAGUCAACUCCUUGAAUUUGUCGAAAACCCUUUGCGACAAGUCGAGCUUUAUAAACGGUCACAUUACCGUUUGCAUCAGUCUUCUUCUUGAAGAUCCAUUUAUUUUCUAUGGCUCGCCGAUCAUCGGGCAAGUCCACCAAAGUCCAUACUUUGUUCUCAUACAUGGAUCCUAUCUCGGAUUUCAUAGCCUCAAGCCAUUUGUUGGAAUCCGGGACCACCAUUGCUUCUUCAUAGUUCGAAGGUCACCGUUGUCUAACAACAUGAUUUCCAUCAAAGGGUUUCCGUACCACUCCGGUGCGGAGCGUACCCUUGUGGACCUUCGCGGUUCAGUGGCAACUUGAUCAGAAGCUUCAUGAUCAUCAUCAUUAACUUCCUCUUCAGUUGGGGUAGGCGCCACAAGAACAAUUUCCCGCGCUGCGCUACUCUCCGGUUCGAGAGGGGGUGUAAUUACCUCAUCAAGUUCUACUUUUCUCCCACUUACUUCUUUUGAGAGAAACUCUUUCUCUAGAAAGGAUCCAUUCUUGGCAACAAAGGUUUUACCUUCGGAUCUGAGAUAGAAGGUAUACCCAAUAGUUUCCUUAGGGUAUCCUAUGAAUACGCAUUUCUCUUCUUUGGGUUCGAGCUUCUCUGGUUGAAGUUUCUUCAUAUAAGCAUCGCAGCCCCAAACUUUAUGAAACGAUAGCUUAGGUUUCUUGCCAAACCAUAGUUCAUACGGUGUCGUCUCAACGGAUUUAGACGGUGCCCUAUUUAAAGUGAAUGCUGCAGUUUCUAAUGCGUAUCCCCAAAAUGAUAGUGGUAAGUCGAUAAGAGACAUCAUAGAUCGUACCAUAUCUAAUAAGGUGUGAUUAAAACGUUCAGACACUCCGUUGCGUUGCGGUGUGCUAGGCGGCGUCAGUUGUGAAACAAUUCCACACUUCCUUAGGUGUUUGCCAAACUCGUGACUCAAAUAUUCUCCUCCACGUUUAGAUCGUAGACACUUAAUUUUUCUGUCAUGUUGAUUCUCAACCUCACUCUAAAAUUCUUUGAACUUUUAAAACGUCUCAGAUUUGUCCUUCAUCAAGUAGGUAUACCCAUACCUACUCAAAUUAUCGGUGAGAGUGAGAACAUAACGGUAGCCACCGUGAGCUUCAACGUUCAUUGAACCACACACAUCAGUAUGUAUUAUUUCCAAUAAGUCGGUCGCUCUCUCCAUUAUUCCUGAGAAUGGAGUCUUAGUCAUCUUGCCCAUGAGGCACGGUUCACAUGUGUCAAAUGAUUCAAAGUCAAGAGACUCCAAUAGUCCAUCAGUAUGGAGCUUCUUCAUGCGCUUAACACCGAUAUGACCAAGGCGGCAGUGCCACAAGUAUGUGGGACUAUCAUUAUCAACUUUACAUCUUUUGGUACUCACACUAUGAAUAUGUGUAACAUCACGAUCGAGAUUCAUCAAGAAUAAACCAUUCACCAGCGGAGCAUGACCAUAAAACAUAUCACUCAUAUAAAUAGAACAACCAUUAUUCUCUGACUUAAAUGAGUAGCCGUCUCGCAUUAAGAAAGACCCUGAUACAAUAUUCAUGCUCAAAGCUGGUACUAAAUAACAAUUAUUAAGGAUUAAAACUAAUCUCGACGGUAGAUGUAGAGGCGGCGUGCCGACGGCGAUCACAUCGACCUUGGAGCCAUUCCCGACGCGCAUCGUCACCUCGUCCUUGGCCAGUCUCCGCUUAUUCCGUAGUUCCUGCUUUGAGUUGCAAAUGUGAGCAACAGCACCGGUAUCAAAUACCCAGGAGCUACUACGAGUAUUGGUAAGGUACACAUCACUAACAUGUAUAUCACAUAUACCUUUAACGUUGCCGGCCUUCUUGUCCACUAAGUACUUGGGGGCAGUUCCGCUUCCAGUGACCUUUUCCCUUGCAAUAGAAGCACUCAGUCUCAGGCUUGGGUCCAUUCUUUUUCUUCCUCCCGGCAUCUUGCUUACCGGGUGCGGCAACGGCUUUGCCGUCUUUCUUGAAGUUCUUCUUACCCUUGCCUUUCUUGAAACUGGUGGUCUUAUUGACCAUCAACACUUGAUGCUCUUUCUUGAUUUCUACUUUCGUAGACUUGAGCAUCGAGUACAACUCGGGAAUGGUCUUUUCCAUCCCUUGCAUGUUGUAGUUCAACACAAAACCUUUGUAACUUGGUGGGAGAGACUGGAGGAUUCCGUCAAUUAUAGCGUCAUCCGGAAGUUUGACUCCAAGUGAACUCAGACGACCGUGUAACCCAGACAUUUUGAGUAUGUGCUCACUGACAGAACUGUUCUCCUCCAUCUUAUAGCUAAAGAACUUGUCGGAGACUUCAUAUCUCUCGACACGGGCAUGAGCUUGAAAAACUAGUUUCAGCUCUUGGAACAUCUCAUAUGCACCGUGUUGCUCAAAAGGCCUUUGGAGCCCCGUUUCCAAACUGUAUAACAUGCCACACCUAACUAGAGAGUAGUCAUCACUCCGCGUUUGCCAGACGUUCAGAAUGUCCUGGGCUGCUGCAGGAGCAGGAGGGUCACCUAGCGGCGCAUCAAGGACAUAAGCCUUUUUAGCUGCUUCAAGGAUGAGCUUCAAGUUGCGGACCCAGUCCGCAUAGUUGCUACCAUCAUCUUUCAGCUUUUUUUUCUCUAGGAAUGCGUUGAAAUUGAGGUUGACGUUGGCCAUCUACAAUAUUUAUAAAGACAACUUUUAGACUAAGUUCAUGACAAUUCAGUUCAUUUAAUCAAAUUAAGUAUGAACUCCCACUUAAAUCGACAUCCGUCUAGUCAUCUAAGUGAUACAUGAUCCAUGUUGACUAACCCGUGUCCGAUCAUCACGUGAGACGGAGUAGUCGUCUUGGUGAGCAACUUCAUGCUGAUCGUAUUCAACCAUACGACUCAUGUUCGACCUUUCGGUCUGUUGUAUUCGAGGUCAUGUCUGUACAUGCUAAGCUCAUCGAGUCAACCUAAGUGUUUCGCGUGUGUAAAUCUGGCUUACACCCGUUGUAUGCGAAUGUUAGAAUCCAAUACACCCGAUCAUCACGUGGUGCUUCGAGACAACGAUCCUUCGCAAUGGUGCACACUUAGGGGAAUACGUUCUCGAAAUUUUUAAGAGGGAUCAUCUUAUUAUGCUACCGUCGUUCUAAGCAAUAAGAUGAAAAACAUGAUAAACAUCACAUGCAAUCAUAUAGUGACAUGAUAUGGCCAUUAUCAUCUUUUCUCUUUCGAUCUCCAUCUUCAGGCAUCGCAUGAUCAUCAUUGUCAUCGGCGUGACACCAUGAUCUCCAUCAUCGUGUCUCCGUGAAGUCGUCAUGCCAACUACUACUACCACUACUACUGUAGCUAACCGUUAGCAAUGAAGCAAAAGUAGUAAACACAUGGCAUUGCAUCUCAUACAAUAAAUUAAGACAACUCCUAUGGCUCCUGCCGGUUGUCAUAGUCAUCGACAUGCAAGUCGUGAAUCCUAUUACAAUAACAUGAUCAUCUCAUACAUCACACAUGCAACAUCAGAACUUGGGCCAUAUCACAUCACAUGUCAAACCCUGCAAAAACAAGUUAGACGUCCUCUAAUUGUUGUUGCAAGUUUUACGUGGCUGAUUUAGGUUUCUAGCAAGAACGCCUUCUUACCUACGUGACAGCCACAACGAUGAUAUGCCAAAGCUAUUUACCCUUCAUAAGGACCCUUUUCAUCAAAUCCAAUCUGACUAGAGUGGGACAGACAGACACCCGCUAGCCACCUUUAUGCACGGUGUGCAUGUCUGUCGGUGGAACCUGUCUCACGUAAGCGUACGUGUAAGGUCGGUCCGGGCCGCUUCAUCCCACAGUACCGCCGGAAAAGAAUAAGACUAGUAGCGGCAAGCAAUUGACAAAUCAUCGCCCACAACCUUUUGUGUUCUACUCGUGCAUGGAAUCUACGCAUAGGAAACCUGGCUCUGAUACCACUGUUGGCGAACGUAGCAUAAAUUCAAAAUUUUCCUACGUCAUAUUCAGAUCUUCCUAUGGAAAGACCAGCAACGAGAGAGGGGUGAGUGCAUCUUCAUACCUUUGAAGAUCGCUAAGCGAAAGCGUUGCUAGAACACGGUUGAUGGAGUCGUACUCGGGGCGAUUCAGAUCGUGGUGUGAUUCCGAUCUAGUGCCGAACCACGGCACCUCCGCGUUCAACACACGUGCAGCCCGGUGACGUCUCCCGCACCUUGAUCUAGCAAGGAGGAGGGGGAGAGGUUGGGGAAGAUCUCUGGCAGCACGACGGCGUGGUGUCGAUGGAGAGACAAGGUCUCCCGGCAGGGCUUCGCCAAGCACCGUGGGAGAGGAGGAAGGAGGGGAGGAGGGCUACGCCGAGAGAGAGGGGAAACUGUGUGCAAAGCAGCCCCAAAAUCCUCUCUAUAUAUAGGAGGAGGGGAGGGGGUGUGCCACCCCUAGGGUUCCCACCCAAGGUGGUGCGGCAGCCCCCCUAGAUGGGAGGUGCGGCGGCCAGGGAAAGGGGGUGGCGCACCCCUAGGUGGGCCUUAGGCCCACCAGCGCCUAGGGUUUGCCCCCUCUCCACCUCCUGCGCCUUGGGCCUCUAUGUGGAGGCGCACCAGCCUACUUUGGGCUGGUUGCCCUCCACCUUUUGGCCCACGCUACCUCUUGGGGCUGGUGGUCCAUCCUGGUGGACCCCCGGAACCAUUUCCGAUGGUCCCGGUACGCUACUGGUGACGCCCGAAACAUUUCCGGUGUCCAGACCGAUCCAUCCUAUAUAUCAAUCUUUACAUCCCGACCAUUACGCAUCUCCUCGUGAUGUCCGGGAUCUCAUCUGGGACUCCGAACAUCCUUCGGUAACCUCGUAUAACAAUUGCCUAUAACCAUAGUGUCAUCAAACCUUAAGUGUGUAGAUCCUACGGGUUCGGGAAGCAUGCAGACAUGACCGAGACACUCUCUGGCCAAUAACCAUCAGCGGGAUCUGGAUACCCAUGGUGGCUCCCACAUGUUCCACGAUGAUCUCAACGGAUGAACCACGAUGUCAAGGAUUCAAUCAAUCCCGUAUACAAUUCCCUUUGUCUGUCGGUAUAGAACUUGCCCGAGAUUCGAUCGUCGGUAUGCCUAUACCUUGUUCAAUCUCAUUACCGGUAAGUAUCUUUACUCGUUCCGUAGCACGUCAUCCUGUGACUAACUCCUUAGUCACAUUGAGCUCAUGAUGAUGUUCUACCGAGUGGGCCCAGAGAUACCUCUCCGUCACACGGAGUGACAAAUCCCGAUCUCGAUUCGUGCCAACCCAACAGACACUUUCGGAGGUACCCGUAGUGCACCUUUAUAGUCACCCAGUUACGUUGUGACGUUUGAUACACCCAAAGCACUCCUACGGUAUCCAGGAGUUGCACAAUCUCACGGUCGAUGGAAAAGACACUUGACAUUAGAAAAGCUUUAGCAUACAAACAAUACGAUCUAGUGUUAUGCUUAGGAUUGGGUCUUGUCCAUCACCUCAUUCUCCCAAUGAUGUGAUCCCGUUAUCAAUGACAUCUAAUGCCCAUGAUCAGGAAACCAUGAUCAUCUAUUGAUUAACGAGCUAGCCAACUAGAGGCUUGCUAGGGACACAUUGUGAUCUAUUUAUUCACACAUGUAUUACUGUUUCCUGUUAAUACAAUUAUAGCAUGAACAAUAGACGAUUAUUGUGAACAAGGAAAUAUGAUAAUAACCAUUUUAUUAUUGCCUCUAGGGCAUAUUUCCAACAAAAGUUACUCUACAGGUAUCUCCGAAGGUGUCCGUUGAGUUACCAUGGAUCAAGACUGGGAUUUGUCACUUCGUAUGAUGGAGAGAUAUCUCGGGGUCCACUCGGUAAUACAACAUCACAACAGACCUUGCAAGCAAUGUGACUAAGGUGUUAGUUAUGAGAUCUUGUAUUACGGAACGAGUAAAGAGACUUGCCGGUAACGAGAUUGAACUAGGUAUAGAGAUACCGAUGAUCGAAUCUAGGGCAAUUAACAUACUGAAGGACAAAGGGAACAACAUACCAGAUUAACUAAAUCCUCGAUAUAGAGGUUCAACUGAUAAAGAUCUUCAUAUAAUAUGUAGGAGCCAAUAUGGGCAUCCAGGUCCCGCUAUUGGUUAUUGACCGGAGAGUGUCUCGGUCAUGUCUACAUAGUUCUCAAAUUCGCAGGGUGUGUACACUUAAGGUUCAGUGACGUUUCAGUAUUAUUGAGUUAUGUAUGUUGGUGACCGAAAGUUGUUCAAAGUCCUGGAUGAAACCCCGGACAUCACGAGGAGCUCCGGAAUGGUCUGGAGGUAAAUAUUGAUAUAUAUGGUAGUUGUAUUUGGCAUCCAGAAAGAUUUUGGGCAUUAACGGUAAAGUAUCGGGAGUGACGAAUGGGUUUCGGGGUUUCACUAGGAGGGGCCUCCCACCCAGAAGGGGGCCUAAUAGGCCUAAAGGUGGUGCACCAGCCCCUAGUGGGCUGGGCAGCCAGCCCAAUAAGGCUUAUUUCGGCCAAGUACAAGGAGGGAAAUGGAAUCCCACUUAGGAAUGGGAAUCCCACUAGGAAGGGGAGUCCUCCUCCACCAAACAGAAUUGGAGGAGGACUCCUCCCCUUGGGUUCGGCUGAACCUCUCCUCCUUGGAGGAGAGGGAAAGGAAGCCCAUGUCCCUCUUCCUCCUAUAUAUAUUGGAGGUUUUGAGGGCAACACACACCUGAAAAGCCACGUGUUGCCCUCUCCUCCAUAGACCGUCUCCUUCGUCUAGAUUAGUCCGGCAUAGCUUGGCGAAGCCCUGGUGGAUUAGUUCACAACCAUCACCACCACGCCGAAGUGCUGAAUAAAUCAUCUACCUCUUUGCCCCUCUUGCUGUAUCAAGAAGGUAGAGAUCUACAUCGAGUUGUACGUGUGCUGAAUGCGGAGGCACCGCCAGUGAUGGGAUCGCGGGACGGAUCGAUGAGAUCGCGAGACGAACUGCAAUUUGGAUCGUGAAGAUGUUCCACUACAUCAACCAUGUUAUAUAUGCUUCCGCUUAAGAUCUACAAGGGUAUGUGGAUCCGAUAUCUCCUCUCAUAGAUGGUCACCACCAUGGAUAUAUGUUAUGUGUGUGUGAUGUCUGCUAGAACUAUGUCGGUAUUUCCCCAAAGAGGAAGGGAUGAUGCAAUAUAGCAACGGUAGGUAUUUCCCUCAGUGAUGAGACUAAGGUUAUCGAACCAGUAGGAGAACCUCCUAACACCACAUAAACAACACCUGCACAUAAAUAAGAAAUACUCGCAACACGACGUGUUAAAGGGGUUGUCAAUCCCUUUCGGGUACGACGCCUCAAGAUAGGUAAAUAACGUGAGAUAAAAGUGGUAAAUAGAUCGCGGAACAAAUAAAUUGCAGCAAGGUAUUUUUGUAUUUUUGUUUAAUAGAUCUGAAAAUAAAAGCAAAGCAAAAUAGAUCGGAAAGGCAAAUAUGAUGAAAAGAGACCCGGGGGCCGUAGGUUUCACUAGUGGCUUCUCUCGAGAAAAAUAGCAAACGAUGGGAAAACAAUUACUGUUGGGCAAUUGAUAGACCUUCAAAUAAUCAUGACGAUAUCCAGGUAAUGAUCAUUAUAUAGGAAUCACGUCCAAGAUUAGUAGACCGACUCCUGCCUGCAUCUACUACUAUUACUCCACACAUCGACCGCUAUCCAGGAUGCAUCUAGUGUAUUAAGUUCAUGGAAAAACAGAGUAAUGCAAUAAGAACGAUGACAUGAUGUAGACAAGAUCUAUUUAUGUAGAAAUACACCCCAUCUUGUUAUCCUUAAUAGCAAUGAUACAUAUGUGUCGUUUCCUUUCUGUCACGGGGAUCAAGCACCGUAAGAUCAAACCCAUCAGAAAGCACCUCUUCCCAUUGCAAUAUAAAUAGAUCAAGUUGGACAAACAAAACCCAAAUAUCGGAGAAGAAAUACGAGGCUAUAAUUAAUCACGCAUAUAAGAGAUCAAAGAAGACUCAAAUAACUUUCAUGGAUAAAAACAUAGAUCUGAUCAUAAGCUCAAAGUUCAUCGGAUCCCAACAAACACACCGCAAAAAGACUUACACCAUAUGGAUCUCCAAGAGACCAUUGUAUUGAUAAUCAAGAGAGAGAGAGAGGAAGCCAUCUAGCUACUAACUACGGACCCGUAGGUCUACAAAUAUCUACUCACGCAUCAUCGGAGAGGCACCAAUGGACAUGAUGAACCCCUCCGAGAUGGUUCCUAGAUUGGAUCUGGUGUUUCUGGACUCUGUGGUGGCUGGAAUUGAUUUUUGUCGACUCCCCUAGGGUUUAUGGAAUAUUGGGGGUAUUUAUAGAGCAAAGAGGUGGUGCAGGAGUCCAACGAGGAGGGCGCAACCCACCGGGGCGCGCCUGGGGCACUAGGUGCGUCCUGGUGGGUUGUGCUCCCCUCGGAGCUCCCCUCAGGUGCGUUCCUGGCCCACUAGAUGUCUUCUGGUCCAAAAAAAUCCACAAAAAGAUUCGCUGCGCUUGGACUCCGUUUGGUAUUGAUUUCCUGCGAUGUAGAAAACAUGCAGAAAACAACAACUGGCACUGGGCACUAUGUCAAUAGGUUAGUACCAAAAAAUGACAUAAAAUGAUUGUAAAACAUCCAAGAAUGAUAUUAUAACAGCAUGGAACAAUAAAAAAUUAUAGAUACGUUGGAGACGUAUCAACAUCCCUAAGCUUAAUUCCUGCUCGUCCUCGAGUAGGUAAAUGAUAAAAAUAAAAAUUUUGAUGCCGAAUGUUGCCUAACAUGUUCAUCACAUUUCUUUUAUUUAUAGCAUGGACAUUUGGACUUUUAUAUGCUUCAAAGCAAUAGUCUAGUUUUGACAUGAAGACUUUAAUACUCAAGCAUACCAACAAGCAACCAUGUCUUUCAAAAUAUCAACACUAAAGCAAGUUAUCCCUAGCCCAUUAUUCUCAAUCAUUAAUCCAUUCAUGAAACACACUCGAAUAUUAGCUACACCCAGUGCUCAAAUACGAUCAUAGUGCCCCUUAGUUGGUGCUUUAUGAGAGAAGAUGGAGACUCAAAUUCAAAAUAAAAAUUGCAUAAAGUAAAAGAAAGUCCCUUCACGGAGGGAAGUAGGGAUUUGUAGAGGUGCGAGAGCUCAAAGCGAAAAUUGAGAGAUAAAAACAUUUUGGGAGGCAUACUUUUCCCACCAAUGAAAACGACUUAGAGCUCCCAACACUUUCCAUGCUAGAUACAUCAUAGGCGGUUCCCAAACAAAAAAAUAAAGUUUAUUCUUUUUUCCACCAUUACUUUCAUUUUCCAUGGCUUGUCCGUAUCCACGGGUGCCCUCCAUACCAACACUUUCCAAGGAAUUUAUUAUUUGACAACAUAAAGUAAAUUCAUUUUUCAUUUCGGGACUGGGCAUCCCUAAUACCUUUGCCGUACUCUCGUGUAAUGACAAGUGAAUAAACACUCAUCGUGAGAAUAACACAUCUAGCAUGGAAAAUAUUGGCCACCCCUCACCGCCUCGCUAGCGGUAGAGCACACAAAAGAGAAAUUUAUUUUGAAAAUUAGAGAUGGCACAUGCAAAUUUGCUUAGAACGGCAUGGAAAUACCGCAUAUAGGUAGGUAUAGUGGACUCAUAUGGCAUAACUGGUUUAAAGGGUUUUGGAUGCACAAGUAUGAUCAUACUUAGUGCAAAAUGAAGGCUAGCAAAAAGAUUGAGAAGCGACCAACCAAGAAACGAAAAAUCUCGUACCCAAGCAUUAAUCAUAAGUAACACCGAAUAAUGCACCACAAGUAGGAUAUACAUUUCAUUGCAUAACUAUUGACUUUCGUGCUUGCAUAGGGAAUCACAAACCUUAACAUCAAUAUUCUUACUAAAGUACAAUUACUCAUCAACAUGACUCACAUAUCAUAUCAUCAUAUCUCAAAAAAAUUAUUAAGAAUCAAGUUUAUUUUGUCCAAUGAUCUUCAUGAAAGUUUUUAUUAUAUCCUCCUUGGAUAUCUAUCACUUUGGGACUAUUUUCAUAUGUUGCUUUUGAUAAGCUCAAACAAAUAUAAGUGAAGAACAUGACCAUAAUUGUUCUUUCUCUCAAAAUAAUAUAAGUGAAGCAAGAGAGAAUUUAUUAAAAAAAUACUAACUCCCAAAUAAAUCUAAGUGAAUCAUGAGAGCAUUUCUUCAAUAAUAACAAAGCACACCGUGCUAAAAAAGAUAUAAGUGAAGUACUAGAGCAAAUCCAUGGCUCUAAAAAUUUAAGUGAAGCAUAGGAGCAAGCACAUCAUAAUUUUUGGCUCUCUUAAAAAGGUGUGUCCAGCAAGGAUUCAAGACUUAAAACACAAAGAAAAACAAGCAAAGACUCAUAUCAUACAAGACGCUAAAAGAAAAACUCAUAAUAUGUGACGAAUAAAAAUAUAACUUCAAGUAAAAUACCGAUGGUUGUUAGAAGAAAGAGGGGAAGUCACUCGGGGGCAUCCCCAAGCUUAGUUGCUUGAUACUUCUUGAAUAUUAUCUUGGGUGCCUCGGUCAUCCACAAGCUUAGCCUUUUUCUAAUCCUUAUUCCUUCAUCCAUCGUAAUAUCACCCAAAACUUGAAAAUUUCAAUCACACAAAACUCAACAAAACCUUCGUGAGAUUCGUUAGUAUAAGAAAGCAAACCACUACUAUAAGUACUGUUGCAAACCUAUUCAUAUUUUAUUUUUCCAUUAUAUCUACUGUAUUCCAACUUUUAUAUGGCAAAAGAUCAUCAAAGAAAACCAUAGAAUCAUCAAAACAAGCACACAACACAAAGAAAACAUAAUCUGUCAAAAAUAGAACAGUCUUUAGCAAUCUGACUACUUCGAAAACUUGUGUAACUCCAAAAAUUCUGAAAAAUUACUACGAUGUGAAUAAUUUGUUUAUUAAUCUUUUUGAAAAAGAAUCAACUCGAACUCCCUCUUGAGAUAAAAAUGAAUAAUAAUUUCAUGAUAAAAAAGUUUAUGUUUUUCAGCAAGAUCAAAUCAACUUUCACCCAAAUAAUUCCAAAGGCCUUGAUUGGCACAAACACUAAUUUAACCCACAAAAUGUCGGGACCCCGAUCCUAAGCCAUAGGAAUCCAGCCUGUAACACAUCGCAUCUCUUUGUGGUCUCACGCACGGUUAACUCCACGGCUGCAGCCUUACCUUAGCCGGGANNNNNNNNNNNNNNNNNNNNNNNNNNNNNNNNNNNNNNNNNNNNNNNNNNNNNNNNNNNNNNNNNNNNNNNNNNNNNNNNNNNNNNNNNNNNNNNNNNNNAGGAAAUCUCAAACUAGUUCAAAAUCAAUGAACCCAAAAUGGCCUCAAGAAAUGUUCAAACUUUCUGAUAAAUCAUGAAAGUAAAUGAGCAUUGGAGAAAACUAUUUUCUUGACACUUUAAGCAUUUUAAAUAAAUGCAAAAGCCACUGGUUUCAAAUUUAAAAUUUCAAAUCAGAAACUAUAAUUUUCCAAAAAUGUUGAAAAUCAUGGAAAUGAGUGGGGAUAUUAUAACAAAUAUUUCAGGAGGUCUAAAAUAUUUUUUACUUUUUGUUUUGGAGCUGAAUUAAUUAGCAAAACACUAAUUAGCAAAACAUAAAAACAAAAACAGAAAAAAAAAUAGAAAAAUCUUACCUGCCGCCCAAGCAUGGCCCGGCCCAUCUCCCCGCUCGUCCCCUCCCUCGCGCCAGUAGGCAGCAGGAGGUGGCCGCCGCCCCCUCCGGCGCGGCCACGCACCUGCGUGCNNNNNNNNNNNNNNNNNNNNNNNNNNNNNNNNNNNNNNNNNNNNNNNNNNNNNNNNNNNNNNNNNNNNNNNNNNNNNNNNNNNNNNNNNNNNNNNNNNNNNNNNNNNNNNNNNNNNNNNNNNNNNNNNNNNNNNNNNNNNNNNNNNNNNNNNNNNNNNNNNNNNNNNNNNNNNNNNNNNNNNNNNNNNNNNNNNNNNNNNNNNNNNNNNNNNNNNNNNNNNNNNNNNNNNNNNNNNNNNNNNNNNNNNNNNNNNNNNNNNNNNNNNNNNNNNNNNNNNNNNNNNNNNNNNNNNNNNNNNNNNNNNNNNNNNNNNNNNNNNNNNNNNNNNNNNNNNNNNNNNNNNNNNNNNNNNNNNNNNNNNNNNNNNNNNNNNNNNNNNNNNNNNNNNNNNNNNNNNNNNNNNNNNNNNNNNNNNNNNNNNNNNNNNNNNNNNCGCCGCUGCCGCUCGUCGCCGGUAGCCCUCCGAUGUUCAGCUCGUCCUUCCGAGGGCACCAGCAGCUCCAGGACGACGCGUAGAUGCCGUAGCAGCUAAGAACCGAGCGUAGAUCCCCCUGAUUCAAAGACCCCGAUGGCGCCCGAGCUUCGGCCGCCGCUCCGGCUCGUCGCCGACGUCUCUUCCGGCGACCCUAGCCUCCCCAGUUGGUCCUGCCAGAUCGGCCACUUCGCGAGCAUGAUGUAGCUGCCAACCGCGCGCGUUUUGGUGCUGUGCAGCGCCAUCUAGGUCGCCUCCGGCGAGCCCUCCGCCGCGGGUCUGGUCGCCGGCGACCACCNNNNNNNNNNNNNNNNNNNNNNNNNNNNNNNNNNNNNNNNNNNNNNNNNNNNNNNNNNNNNNNNNNNNNNNNNNNNNNNNNNNNNNNNNNNNNNNNNNNNNNNNNNNNNNNNNNNNNNNNNNNNNNNNNNNNNNNNNNNNNNNNNNNNNNNNNNNNNNNNNNNNNNNNNNNNNNNNNNNNNNNNNNNNNNNNNNNNNNNNNNNNNNNNNNNNNNNNNNNNNNNNNNNNNNNNNNNNNNNNNNNNNNNNNNNNNNNNNNNNNNNNNNNNNNNNNNNNNNNNNNNNNNNNNNNNNNNNNNNNNNNNNNNNNNNNNNNNNNNNNNNNNNUCAGGUUUGACCUGAACAGGUCGGCUGACCUGCUGACGUCAGCCUGAGGCAAUAAAUAGAAUUUCCAGUAUAAAACUAAUUCAGGAAAUUGCUAAAAAUUGUAAAAAUCAUAGAAAUUAAUCUGUAACUCCAAUGAAAAUAAUUUAUAUAUGAAAAAGUAUCAGAAAAAUUCAAGGAUUCUGAUUAUGCUAUUUUCAACUAUGUUUGAAAAAGUUACAGAACCCUAAAUUGUGAAAUAAGGAAUAAUUCAAUUCUUUUAAUCACUUUAUAAAUGGAAUUUGCAAAAAUAUUCAAAUUUCAUUAUAUAUGCAAUGAUCACACACUGCCCUAAUUACAAAUCAGUACCAUAACAUGANNNNNNNNNNNNNNNNNNNNNNNNNNNNNNNNNNNNNNNNNNNNNNNNNNNNNNNNNNNNNNNNNNNNNNNNNNNNNNNNNNNNNNNNNNNNNNNNNNNNAGGCUAGGGUCGCCGGGAGAGGCGCCGGCGACGAGCCGAAGCGGAGGCCGAAGCUCGGCCUCCCGCGGUUGAUGGCUCUAGGGCGCGGGGAGGACAGCUAAUGGGCUCAUCACACUCCUGGAGGCUCCAGGAGCUCGAUCCCUAGCUCGAGCGCGUGGAACAGACACCACAGCGACGGCGACGACAUGACCGGAGGCGAGGAGCUCUCGGCCUUGGUGGGGAUCGGGGCUACGGUGCACGGAAGAGCGUGGGGUGAGAGGGGAAAUGAAGAUGAGCUCACGGCGGUUCCGAUGGUGUUGUUGUAGGGCUCGGGGGUGCGCCGGAGGGAGCGAAUCAACGGGAGAGGUCCGGCGGNNNNNNNNNNNNNNNNNNNNNNNNNNNNNNNNNNNNNNNNNNNNNNNNNNNNNNNNNNNNNNNNNNNNNNNNNNNNNNNNNNNNNNNNNNNNNNNNNNNNNNNNNNNNNNNNNNNNNNNNNNNNNNNNNNNNNNNNNNNNNNNNNNNNNNNNNNNNNNNNNNNNNNNNNNNNNNNNNNNNNNNNNNNNNNNNNNNNNNNNNNNNNNNNNNNNNNNNNNNNNNNNNNNNNNNNNNNNNNNNNNNNNNNNNNNNNNNNNNNNNNNNNNNNNNNNNNNNNNNNNNNNNNNNNNNNNNNNNNNNNNNNNNGCCGGAGGUGGAAGACGAUGGCGUUGGGGGCGAUGCAGAGCUCGAGGAGACUUCGGUUUCUGCAGGGAGGACCGGCUCGACGAGGCGGAGCUAACGGCGUGCUCAGCAAGAGGAUGCUAAGGCUAGGGGCACGGGCAGCUCGNNNNNNNNNNNNNNNNNNNNNNNNNNNNNNNNNNNNNNNNNAAGGGGGAGGAGAGAUCCGGGAGGAGGGAGAGAGCUGACGCUGGGAAUGGAUAGAGGAGGCCUCGGGGAGCUUAUCCCCGGCCUUGCCAGCGCGAGGCGCCGGCCAGGGAGGCGCACAGGUGCGUGGNNNNNNNNNNNNNNNNNNNNNNNNNNNNNNNNNNNNNNNNNNNNNNNNNNNNNNNNNNNNNNNNNNNNNNNNNNNNNNNNNNNNNNNNNNNNNNNNNNNNUUUACCAAAUCAAGUUCAACACACAAACUUUGCUCACCGAACACAUUCCACAUUUCUGUUCAUCUCCCAGAUGACAGACCAUACACAACUCUAAGCAUAGCAUGCAUAGCAGGAUAAGGCACAUCAUAGCUCAAGCAACUACCAGGUAUGCUAGGUUGCAAGGUUCGGCUAUUUACUGUGACAAGGUUAGGUCAUGCAAAGGAAGUGGGUUCAACUAUCGUGGCAAAAGCAGUUGAAGCAUUUGAUCCUAAAUGCAAUAAAUAGGUGCAGGAGCAAGAACAUAGGAGUUAUCGGGAUGAUCAAAAGGGUUGCUUGCCUUGUUGCUCAGAGGAGGAACGAUAUCCGUCAGACGGAUAUUCGGUGGAAUCCGGGGGUGCGGAGCCUAUCGAAAAGAAUGGCAACAUUCAAUAACAAUCAUAUGCACUCAAAAUGAUGCAUGAGCAUGGCAUGGGAAUGCAAGUGGUAGGUUAUUAUUUUCAACAUGUAUUAGGUUUAGAGUUGAUUUGAAUCACAUUCGAAUAGCAAUUCAACAGGGUAUUCUCGGAUACCGGUUUAAUUGAUUCGACCUGAUGCUCAGAUCAACUUGAUGUUAACAUGCAUGAAAUGUCAUGUUAUGGUACUGAUUUGUAAUUAGGGCAGUGUGUGAUCAUUGCAUAUAUAAUGAAAUUUGAAUAUUUUUGCAAAUUCCAUUUAUAAAGUGAUUAAAAGAAUUGAAUUAUUCCUUAUUUCACAAUUUAGGGUUCUGUAACUUUUUCAAACAUAGUUGAAAAUAGCAUAAUCAGAAUCCUUGAAUUUUUCUGAUACUUUUUCAUAUAUAAAUUAUUUUCAUUGGAGUUACAGAUUAAUUUCUAUGAUUUUUACAAUUUUUAGCAAUUUCCUGAAUUAGUUUUAUACUGGAAAUUCUAUUUAUUGCCUCAGGCUGACGUCAGCAGGUCAGCCGACCUGUUCAGGUCAAACCUGAUAGGGGGGUCCCACUGGUCAGCCUCUCUGGGACUAAUCCCGUGCUGACCAGCCCCAAAUUGGGGUUUGACCAGGCGUGGGGCCCUCUGUCAGCGACUGAGGGGAGGGCGAUUACGCCCUAAUGGUCGGCCACGUCGACGCCCAUCGGAGGGUGGUCGCCGGCGACCAGACCCGCGGCGGAGGGCUCGCCGGAGGCGACCUAGAUGGCGCUGCACAGCACCAAAAACGCGCGCGGUUGGCAGCUACAUCAUGCUCGCGAAGUGGCCGAUCUGGCAGGACCAACUGGGGAGGCUAGGGUCGCCGGAAGAGACGUCGGCGACGAGCCGGAGCGGCGGCCGAAGCUCGGGCGCCAUCGGGGUCUUUGAAUCAGGGGGAUCUACGCUCGGUUCUUAGCUGCUACGGCAUCUACGCGUCGUCCUGGAGCUGCUGGUGCCCUCGGAAGGACGAGCUGAACAUCGGAGGGCUACCGGCGACGAGCGGCAGCGGCGUUCCUCAUCGGGCUCCGGUGAAACUAGAGCUAGAGGAGGGGAUCGACGGGGGAAACUUAGGGGAAACGACCGCAUGCUCACGGGGAGUGCAGAGCAGAGCUUAGACGGUUCGGGGAAGGCAUGGGGGCGACGAAUCGACGGGAGAGGUCCGGCGGCCGGAGGUGGAAGACGACGGCGUUGCGGGCGUUGCAGGGCUCGAGGAAGCUUUGGCUUCUGCAGAGAUGACCAGGGCGACGAGGCGGAGCUAAUGGCGUGCUCUGGGAGGGAAACCUAUGGCCAGGGGCACGGGCAGCUCGAGCUCGAGCUCGGCUCUAAUGGCGGCAGCAAGGAGGAGGAGGAGAUCCGGGAGGAGGAGGAGAACCGAGGCGGGGAAUGGAUAGGGGAGGCUCUGGGGAGCUUAUCCCCGUCGUCGCCAUCGCGAGGCGGCGGCCAGGCAGGCACGCAGGUGCGUGGCCGCGCCGGAGGGGGCGGCGGCCACCUCCUGCUGCCUACUGGCGCGAGGGAGGGGACGAGCGGGGAGAUGGGCCGGGCCAUGCUUGGGCGGCAGGUAAGAUUUUUCUAUUUUUUUUUCUGUUUUUGUUUUUAUGUUUUGCUAAUUAGUGUUUUGCUAAUUAAUUCAGCUCCAAAACAAAAAGUAAAAAAUAUUUUAGACCUCCUGAAAUAUUUGUUAUAAUAUCCCCACUCAUUUCCAUGAUUUUCAACAUUUUUGGAAAAUUAUAGUUUCUGAUUUGAAAUUUUAAAUUUGAAACCAGUGGCUUUUGCAUUUAUUUAAAAUGCUUAAAGUGUCAAUAAAAUAGUUUUCUCCAAUGCUCAUUUACUUUCAUGAUUUAUCAGAAAGUUUGAACAUUUCUUGAGGCCAUUUUGGGUUCAUUGAUUUUGAACUAGUUUGAGAUUUCCUUUAGUUGAAAUGGUGGCUAGGGUUUUGAGUUUUUCCUUUGCCACUUUGUUGUUUUUGUUGAAACUUCUUAGAUGCAAAUGCAAAGAAGACAUGAGCACAAUGCUAUCUUGCUUAAGGGUUAGGGAUGUGACACAAAAACACAACUAAACAUAGGUAUAAUUGUGUAUUUUAUUGAAAACAAACCAAAAAGAAAAAAUAUACAAGUUGCGUUGCCUCCCAACGAGCGAUAUUGUUUUACGCCCCUAGCUAGGCAUAACGCCUAGGAUCUAAGUGUUGUCAUCUUUGGCUCUAGAUCCAUAAUACGCCCUCAUGAUUGAUUCAUAUGGUGGACCAAUUCUUAUUCUAUGGAAGUGUUCCAUUCCCUUCCUUAGUGGAAAUUGAAAAUUAAUAUUGCCUUCUUUCAUAUCAAUCCUGGCACCAAUAGUACGUAAAAACGGUCUACCAAGUAUAAUCGGACAAGACGGAUUGCUAUCAAUAUCAAGAGCAAUAAAAUCUAUGGGCACAUAAUUACCAUUUGAAAGAAUAAGAACAUGAUUAAUUCUUCCCAUCGGCUUUUUAAUAGUAUAAUCCGCCAAGUGCGAAUCUAAAGAGCAUUCUUCAAUAUUGGUAAGACCAAGCACAUCAGAUAAAGACUUCGGAAUUGUAGAAACACUAGCACCCAAGUCAAAUAAAGCAAAACACUCAUAAUGUUUUAUCUUGACUUCGAUAGUAGGUUCCCACUCAUCAUGCAAUUUUCUUGGAAUUGAAACUUCCAAUUCCAAUUUUUCCUCAAAAGCAUUCAUCAUAGCAUCAACGAUAUGUUCACUAAAAGCUUUAUUUUGUCCAUAAGCAUGCGGUGAAUUUAUCAUGGAUUGCAAAAAAUAAGUACAAUCAACCAAAGAGCAACUAUCAUAAUUAAAGUCUUUGUAAUCCAAAAUAGUGGGCACAUUACUAUUUAAAGUCUUAACCUCUUCAAACCAACUUUUAUCAAUUUUCUUAACAAGAUUUUCGCCCUCUGAAUCAUAGGGACGCCUUCUAACUAAAGUUGACUCUUCUUGAGUCCCUUUUUCAGCAAUCUUAAUUUUACUAAACAAAGAAUGAAUAGAAGAAACACAAAUCAUUUUAAGAUCCUCAUCACUUUUAUGAAAGUAAUCACUAGAAAACGCUCUUUCUAAAAAUUCUCUUUUAGCUCUAAGCAUAUCGGUUCUUUUCUUACUUUCAUUCAUAGAAACAUAAAGAGCUUUAAUUGAUUCUUCAACUUUAGGCACAAAAAUUUUCAUCCUUAGAGUUUUCACACCAUGAGAAAUUCUAUCAAUACUUCUAGACAAAUCAUCAACUUUAUUCAACUUUUGUUCUAUCGAAGUAUUGAAAGCUUUUUGAGUAUUGAUUAAUUAUUUAAUAUUGUUCUCAAGAUCAGAGGUGUUUCUAUUAUUAUUAUAAGUAGGAUUACCAUAAUUAUUAGAGGAAUUACUAGGAAAAGUCCUAGGAUUAAAAUACCUUUAUAAGCCUUGUUAUUGAAAUUUUUUUGCGAGAUAAAAUUCACAUCUAUGGCAUCACUAUUUUGCUCAAUCAAAUUAGACAAAGGCACAUCAUUAAAAUCAAUAUGAGCACUUUUAUUACCAACCAACUUCAUAAGAGCAUCAACUUUUUCACUCAAAGAAUUUAUUUCUUCUACCAAAUUGACUUUUUUACUAGUAGGAGCUCUUCCGGUAUGCCAUUGUGAGUUAUUGGCCAUAAUAUUGUCUAUCAAUUUAGUAGCUUCACCCAAAGUAAUUUCCAUAAAAGUACCCCCUGGGCGGAAUCUAAAAGAUUAAGAGAAACAAAAUUCAACCCCGCAUAAAAAAAUGUAUGAUCAUCCAAAGAUUUAACCCAUGAGUUGGGCAAUUCCUUAGUAUCAAUUUCAUCCUUUCCCAAGAUUGUGCAACAUGCUCAUGUUCAAGUUGCUUGAAAUUCAUGAUCUGGGUUCUAAGGGAAAUAAUUUUUGUGGGCGGAAAAACUUAGUAAUAAAAGCAUCCUUCCAAGAAUCGAUACUAUUGCGAGGCAAAGAAGAAAACCAAAGUUUUGCACGAUCUCACAAAGAAAACGGAAAUACUUUCAACUUCACAACAUCGUUGGCCACAUCUUUUUUAUUUUUCAUAUUGCAUAAUUCCACAAAUGUUUUGACUUUUCUCAAAAAUUAGGGCCAAUUAAUUUUUUUGUGAAUGCUUGUGAAGGUUAGUUGAUGUUUACUUGCUUGCCUAUUGCUUGUGUUUGAACCCAAUGCUGCUGCUACUCUCCAAAAUCAGCUCCUUGACCCAAACCCUUGUCCAAUGAUCAUGCCAUAUGUGUACGACCAAAAACUAUUUUUACCAAAUAUUAUUUUCACCAAAAAGCAUUUCUUUGAUUUAAGCUUUCAAAACCCUUGAGUUGGGAUUUGUACUACAAGUCCUCAAAUUAGGGAAGUUAUAUUGAACCAAUUACUUUAUUUAAAACCCAUUAUCAAAAUUACUUCCAAAAAACCACAAUGCUAUUAUUUUAAAAGUUAUUUUACUAUUUUAUUUAAAUGCCAUCUUGUGAGGCUAGAAAUGGUAUCUUAUGAAGGAAAGUUUUUUUUAUUUCUUUCAAAAUAUUUAAGAAACUUUAGGGAAACUCACUUGACAUACAUAUUCCGUAUAUAUGAGUUUCAACACAUGGUCAUGUUCAAAAUAUUGGGCAAACCCCUUCAAAACCCUUCCUGCCUAUUUCAAGCUUUUGGAAUAUUUCUAUAAGAAAUAUUCUCAAUAAAUUUCUGUAAAAUUCUAGCAUGUCACAUAUGAUAUAUGUGAUGAUCUUGCCAAGUUUCAUCUCAAUCCAAGUUGAUUUGAUUUCCCUAAUUAUUCUAAAGCGCUAUUUGUACAGAUCCAAAUUUGAGCAACUCUACAUAGCCAAGUGUCUCUCCAGUUGUGCUCAAAUUUGGUAGACAUGUUAUGAUACUCUAAUAAUGCAUCCACACCAAGUGGUGCAUCAAGGAGAAUAGAAGAACUUGUCCCAAGCCCCUCAAAACCCUCUCUGUUGAUUUUUGACUUUGGGAGACUUUACAUUAUAAAGUUUCUCCAAUUGACCCAAAACUUAUUGGGCAUGCUUUAAUGCUCAAAUAAUGCCCCAAACCAAAUAUUGGUUUUGUGGGAAUAUAUUUGAAUAGUUUUGUAAGCAGAAGAACAUUUCUGCACAUUUCAUGGGUUUUCCAAGUCUACAUUGGAAACCUUAUCCACCAAAUGCCAAAUGUGGUGUCCAAGCUUACUUUCAUCUAUUAUUUGAUCCUGUUAAGUUUCACAUCAAUUGAAGUCCAUCUGGUAGCCCUGACACUCAUCAAACACCUUGUGUAAACUCACCAAAGGGGCUAAUUUGGCCCCUUCCACUUUUACCCUUGAGCUUAAACUUUUACCACAGCCUCCCCUAGUUACCUUUUUACUCCAGUAGCUUUGCCAUGGCCACUUGUCAAUUACUGGAGAGAGACUCCUGGUAGCUACCCUUCAUUUUCACCAUGGAAGCACCCUUUUUACCUCUCUUCCUAUACUUCUGCUUAAUCCAAAGCCCCACAUUCUUCCAGGGCAUCUCUAAUAUGUCAAUGCAUCAUUUCAAACCAAGAGAUGGCAUGCUCAUGUAGGAAAAAUGAGCAACACAUCUACAAGUUGAUUUCUGGCUGAAUUGUAGCUUUGUAGAACAAGUUUUAGCUACCCUCCUUUGCUUGAGCUCAAACGUGGCAGUGUUGUAGUCCUUCCAUAGCUAACACUGCGAGACAUUGAUUUUCCCCAACACUCUCCAUCUCAGACCCACUUUUAUUAUCCCUGAGUUUGCUGCUGCAAACUCAAACUCAGUGAAAGCCUAGCCUGACCACCUUCAUAUACUUACAAACUCCUCAAUCUCCCUCCUGCAAGUAUGCCUUACAUGUUGGACAUGUUUGACUGGUCAUGAGGACCCUAUAGACAUGAGUGGCCAUGGAUACCACCACCCUCGCCUGCAAUAAGGGUGCUCUGUGAGACCGCAUCCGGUCGUUGCUACGUGUCUCAGAGCACCAGGGCAUCCCCCUUGACUGGUCCAAGCCCUACUCGACACCUAGAAGCCGCCAAGUUGCCCCUAGAACUCGUGCUACCGAGCUCCGAGGUGCUCCCUAUUGGGGAACAUUGCAUGGGAAACAAUUUUUUUCCUACGCACACGAAGACCUAUCAUGGUGAUGUUCAUCUACGACAGUGAGAUUGCAUCCACAUACCCUUCUAGAUCGCUAAACGGGAAGCGUUAAGAAACACGGUUGAUGUAGUGGAACAGCUUCGUGAUUCAAAUCACCAUCGUCCCAUGAUCGGUCCCAAUCUAGCACCGAAUGAACGACACCUCCGCGUUCAACACACGUAUAGCUCGAUGAUGAUCUCCGCCUUCUUGAUCCAGCAAGAGAGACAGGGAAGUAGAUGAGUCCUCCGACAGCGUGACGGCGCGCCGGUGAUGGUGAUGAUCUAUUCCUGCAGGGCUCUGCCCGAGCUCCGCAGAAAUCCGAUCUAGAUGAAGAAGUACGAAGUAGAGGUUUAGGGUUGCACGUGGCAAAGUUGUGUCUCUUAAACCCUAAAACCUCUAGUAUAUAUAGGAGGAGGGGAGGUGCUAGCCUUGAGGAUCAAGGGAGGCUAUUGGGCGUCGACCGAGUGGAGGAGGAGGGACUCCUACUCCAAUUCGGUUUGGAAGGAGGAGUCCCUUCCUUCCUUCCCAACUCCUCCCUUUUUUUCUUUUCUCCUUUGAUUUUUUAUCUUGGCCGAAAUAGUCCUAUUAGGCUGGCCUCACCAGCCCACCAAGGGCUGGUGCGCCACCCAUGGGCCUAUUAGGUUCUCUCCCGGGUGGGUGGCCCCUCCCGGUAAAAACCCGGAACCCAUUCGUCACUCCCGAUACACUGUCGACAAUGCCCGAAAUAUUUUUGGAAGCCAAAUGAAAGAAUCCUAUAUAUCAGUCUUUGUUUCCGGACCAUUCCGGAAACCCUCGUGACGUCCGUGAUCUCAUCCGGGACUCCAAACAAAACUUUGGUCACCAUCACCUAUAACUCAACUAUACCAAAACGUCACCGAACCUUAAGUGUGCAGACCCUGCAGGUUCGAGAACUAUGCAGACAUGACCUGAGACACUCCCUGGUCAAUAUCCAAUAGUGGGACCUGGAUGUCCAUAUUGGAUCCUACAUAUCCUACGAGGAUCUUAUCUUUUGAACCUAUGUGCCAAGGAUUCAUAUAAUCCCGUAUACCAUUUCCUUUGUCCUUCGGUAUGUUACUUGCCCGAGAUUUGAUCAUCGGUAUCCCUAUACCUAUUUCAAUCUCGUUACCGGCAAGUCUCUUUACUCGUUCCGUAAUACAAGAUCCUGUGACUAACACUUUAGUCACAUUGCUUGCAAGGCUUAUAUGUGAUGUUGUAUUACCGAGUGGGCCCCGAGAUACCUCUCCGUGACACGGAGUAACAAAUCCCAGUCUUGAUCCAUACUAACUCAACGGACACCUUAGGAGAUACCUGUAGAGCACCUUUAUAGUCACCCAAUAACCUUGCGACGCUUGAUACACACAAGGUAUUCCUCCGGUGUCAGUGAGUUACAUGAUCUCAUGGUCAUAGGAAUAAACACUUGACAUGCAGAAAACGAUAUCAACAAAAUGACACGAUCACAUGCUACAUUUGUAGUUUGGGUCUUGUCGAUCACAUCAUUCUCCCAAUGACGUGGUCGAGUCAUCAAGUGACAACACUUGUAUAUGGUCAGAAAACCUUAACCAUCCUUGAUCAACUGGCUAGUCAACUAGAGGCUUACUAGGGACAUAGUUUUGUAUAUAUAUCCACACAUGCAUUUAUGUUUUCAUUUAAUACAAUUAUAGCAUGGAUAAUAAACGAUUAUCUUCAAACAUGAAAUAUAAUAAUAACUAUUUUAUUAUUGCCUCUAGGGCAUAUUUCCAACAGUUUGCCACUUGCACUAGAGUCAAUAAUCUAGUUUUACAUCGCUAUGUGAUUUACAUUGGAAUGAAUCUAACACCCAUGCAGUUCUGGUGUUGAUCAUGCUUCGCUCGGAAGAGGUUUAGUCAGCGGAUCUCCAACAUUCAGAUCCGUGUGCACUUUGCAAAUAGUUACGUCCUCUCCUUCGACGUAGUCGCGGAUGAGGUUGAAGCGUCGUUUGAUGUGUCUGGUCUUCUUGUGAAACCUUGGUUCCUUGGCUAGAGCAAUGGCACCAGUGUUGUCACAGAAUAGAGUUAUUGGAUUUAGUGCGCUCGGCACAACUCCAAGAUCCGUCAUGAACUGCUUCCUCCAUACACCCUCCUUAGCUGCCUCCGAGGCAGCCAUGUACUCUGCUUCACAUGUAGAAUCUGCUACAACGCUUUGCUUGGAACUGCACCAGCUUACCGCACCCCCAUUGAGAAUAAAUACAUAUCCGUUUUGAGACUUAGAGUCCUUCGGAUCAGUCUCAAAGCUUGCAUCGACGUAACCCUUUACGACGAGCUCUUCGCCACCUCCAUAAACAAGAACCAUUUCAUUAGUCCUUUUCAGGUACUUCAGAAUAUUCUUGACCGCCGCCCAGUGUUCCACUCCCAGAUCACUUUGAAACCUGCUUGCCAUACUUAUGGCCAGGCUGACGUCCGGUCUUGUGCACAACAUUGCAUACAUGAUAGACCUUACGGCUGAAGCAUAGGGGACGGUACUCAUCUUUUUCCUAUCUUCUGCAGUUACUGGACAUUGAGUCUUACUCAACUUUAUACCUUGGAACACAUGCAAGAACCCUUUCUUGGAUUGUUCCAUUUUGAACUUCUUCAAAACUUUCUCAAGGUAUGUGCUUUGUUAAAGUCCUAUCAGGCGUUUCGAUCUAUCUCUAUAGAUCUUAAUACCUAAUAUGUAAGCAGCUUCUCCUAGUUCUUUCACUGAAAAACUUUUGUUCAAGUAAUCCUUUACGCUCUCCAAAAACUCCACAUUGUUUCCAAUCAGCAAUAUGUCAUCCACAUAUAAUAUUAGAAACGAUGCAAAGCUCCCACUCACUUUCUUGUAUAUACAAGAUUCUCCUACAACUUGUAUAAACCCAAACGCCUUGAUCACCUCAUCAAAGCGCUUAUUCCAACUCCGAGAUGCUUGCACCAGUCCAUAAAUGGAUCGCUGGAGCUUGCAUACUUUGUUAGCAUUCUUUGGAACGACAAAACCUUCGGGUUGCAUCAUAUACAACUCUUCCUUAAGAAACCAUUAAGGAACGCCGUUUUGACAUCCAUCUGCCAGAUUUCAUAAUAAAAAAUGCAGCUAUUGCUAACAUGAUUCGGACGGAUUUAAGCAUCGCUAUCGGUGAGAAUGUCUCAUCGUAGUCAACUCCUUGAACUUUUGAAAAACCUUUGCCACAAGUCGAGCUUUAUAAACGGUCACAUUACCGUCCGUGUCCGUCUUCUUCUUCAAGAUCCAUUUGUUCUGAAUAGCCUUGCGACCUUCAUUUAAUACUUCCAAAGUCCACACUUUGUUUUCAUACAUAGAUCCUAUCUCGGAUUUCAUGGCCUCUAACCAUUUGUUGGAAUCUCGGCCCACCAUUGCUUCUUCAUAAUUUACAGGCUCAUUGUUGUCUAACAACAUGAUAGAUAAGACAGGAUUCCCGUACCACUCAGGAGCAGUACGUGGUCUUGUCGACCUGCAAGGUCCGAUAAUAACUUGAUCCGAAGCCUCAUGAUAAUCAUCAUUAGCUUCCUCCUCAACUGGUGUUGCCUCGACAGAGAUUUCCCUCUGCCCUGCGCCACCAUCCUGUUGGAGCAGAGGUUCCACAACCUCAUCAAGUUUUAUCUUCCUCCCACUCAAUUCUUUCGAGAGAAACUCUUUCUCAAGAAAAGCUCUGUUCUUAGCAACAAACACUUUGCCCUCGGAUCUAAGAUAGAAGGUGUACCCAACUGUCUGUUUUGGGUAACCUAUGAAGAUGCACUUUUCCUCUUUGGGUUCCAGCUUUUCAGGUUGAAGCUUUUUGACAUAAGCAUCGCUUCCCCAAACUUUAAGAAACGACAACUUUGGCUUCUUGCCAUGCCAUAGCUCAUAUGGUGUCAUCUCAACGGAUUUUGAUGGUGCCCUAUUUAAAGUGAAUGCAGCUAUCUCUAAUGGAUAGCCCCAAAACGAUAAUGGCAAAUCGGUAGGAGACAUCAUAGAUCACAACAUAUCUAAAAAACUACGAUUACAACGUUCGGACACACCAUUACGUUGUGGUGUUCCAGGCGGUGUCAACUGUGAAACGAUUCCACAUUGUCUUAAGUGAGCACCAAACUCGUAACUCAGAAAUUCGCCCUCUCGAUCAGAUUGUAGGAACUUGACCUUCUUGCUAUGAUGAUUUUCAACUUCACUCCGAAAUUGUUUGAAAUUUUCAAAUGUUUCAGACUUGUGCUUCAUCAAGUAGAUAUAUCCAUACCUACUCAAAUCAUCAAUGAAGGUGAGAAAAUAACGAUAUCCGUCAUGCACCUCCACACUCAUUGUUCCGCACACAUCAGUAUGUAUGAUUUCCAACAAGUCACUUGCACGCUCCAUUGUUCCAGAGAACAGAGUCUUAGUCAUCUUGCCCAUGAGGCAUGGUUCGCACGUGUCAAGUGAUUCAAAAUCAAGUGACUCCAAAAGCCCAUCAGCAUGGAGCUACUUCAUGCGCUUUACACCAAUAUUACCUAAGCGGCAGUGCCACAAAAAGGUGGCGCUAUCAUUGUUAACUCUACAUCUUUUGGUCUCAAUGUUAUGGAUAUGUGUGUCAUCACAAUCAAGAUUCAAUAUGAAGAAACCCCUCACAUUGGGUGCAUGACCAUAAAAGAUAUUACUCAUAUAAAUAGAACAACCAUUAUUCUCUGACUGAAAUGAGUAACCGUCUCGCAAUAAACAAGACCCAGAUAUAAUAUUCAGGACAAUUAAAGUUCAGCUAAUCAUAUUACUAAUAAACUCCCACUCAAAUACACAUCCCUCUAGUUAUUUGAGUGUGGCAUGAUCCAAAUUCACUAACUCAAGUCCGAUCAUCACGUGAGUUGAGUGUAGUUUCAGUGGUAAACAUCUCUAUGUUAAUCAUAUCAACCAUACGAUUCAUGCUCGACCUUUCAGUCUCUUGUGUUUCGAGGCCAUGUCUGUACAUGCUACGCUCGUCAAUCUUAGCCCGAGUGUUCCGCGUGUUCAACUAUUUUGCACCUGUUGUAUGUGAACGUUGAGUCUAUCACACUCGAUCAUCAUGUGGUGUCUCGAAACGACGAACUGUCGCAACGGUGCACAGUCGGGGAUAACACAAUUUUAUCUUGAAAUUUUAGUGAGGGAUCACCUUAUAAUGCUACCGUCGUUCUAAGCAAGAUAAGGUGCAUAAAAGGAUUAACAUCACAUGCAAUUCAUAAGUGACAUGAUAUGGCCAUGAUCUUGUGCUUCUUGAUCUCCAUCACCGAAGCACUGGCAUGAUCUUCAUCAUCACCGGCGCCACACCAUGAUCUCCAUCAUCGCGCUGCCAUCGAGGUUGUCAUGCUACCUAUGCUAUUACUACUAAAGCUACAACCUAGCAAUAUAGUAAACGCAUCUGCAAGCACAAACGUUAGUUUAAAGACAACCCUAUGGCUCGUGCCGGUUGUCGUAGCAUCGACGUGCAAGUCGAUAUUUAACUAUUAAAACAUGAUCAUCUCAUACAUCCAAUAUAUCACAUCAUGUAUUUGGCCAUAUCACAUCACAUGCAUACCCUGCAAAAACAAGUUAGACGUCCUCUAAUUUGUUGUUGCGUGUUUUACGUGGAUGCUAUGGGCAUCUAGUAUGAUCACAUCUUACUUAUGCAAAACCACAACGGUGAUAUGCAAAUUGCUAUUUAACCUUUCUCCAAGGACCGCCUCGGUCAAAACCGAUUCAACUAAACUUGAAGAAAUAGACACCCGCCAGUCAUCUUUAUGCAACAAGUUGCAUGUUAGUCGAUGAAACCGGUCUUUCGUAAACGUACGAGUAAGGUUGGUCUGAGCCACUUCAAUCCAGCAAUACCACUGAAUCGAGAAAAGACUAAGGAGGGCAGAAAAUCGCACAUCAAUGCCCACAAAAACUUUUGUGUUCUAAUCGAGAUUACAUCUACGCAUGAACCUAGCUCAUGAUGCCACUGUUGGGGAACGUUGCAUGGGAAACAAAAAAAUUCCUACGCACACGAAGACCUAUCAUGGUGAUGUUCAUCUACUAGAGAGAGAUCAGAUCCACAUACCCUUGUAGAUCGCUAAGAGGGAGGCGUUAAGAAACGCGAUUGAUGUAGUGGAACAACUUCAUGAUUCAGAUCACCGCCAUCCCACGAUCCGUCCCGAUCUAGCACCGAAUGGACGGCACCUCCGCGUUCAGCACACGUACAGCUCGAUGACGAUCUCCCCCUUCUUGAUCCAGCAAGAGAGACGGGUAAGUAGAUGAGUUCUCCGGUAGCGUGACGGUGCACCGGUGAUAGUGAUGAUCUAUUCCUGCAGGGCUCCGCCCGAGCUCCACUGAAAUCUGAUCUAGAGGAAGAAUUACGAAGUAGAGGUUUAGGGUUGCACGUGGCAAAGUUGUGUCUCGAAAACCUUAAAACCUCUAGUAUAUAUAGGAGGAGGGGAGGGGCUAGCCUUGAGGCUCAAGGGAGCCUCUAGGGCGUCGGCCGAGUGGAGGAGGAGGGACUCCUACUCCAAUUCGGUUUGGAAGGAGGAGUCCCUUCCUUCCUUCCCACCUCCUCCCUUUUUUCUUUUCUCCUUUCAUUUUUUCUCUUGGCCGAAAUAGUCCUAUUGGGAUGGCCUCACCAGCCCACCAAGGGCUGGUGCGCCACCCAUGGGCCUAUUAGGUUCUCUCCCGGGUGGGUGGCCCCUCCCGGUAGAAACCCGGAACCCAUUCGUUACUCCCGGUACACUGCCGGCAAUGCCCGAAAUCUUUCCGACAGCCAAAUGAAACAAUCCUAUAUAUCAAUCUUCGUUUCCAGACCAUUCCGGAAACCCUCGUGACGUCCAUGAUCUCAUCCGGGACGCCAAAUAAAACUUUGGUCACCAGCACCUAUAACUCAACUAUACCAAAACGUCACCGAACCUUUAAGUGUGCAGACCCUGCGAGUUCGAUAACUAUGCACACAUGACCUAAGACACUCCCAGGUCAAUAUCCAAUAGCGGGACCUGGAUUUCCAUAUAGGAUCCUACAUAUUCUACGAAGAUCUUAUCGGUUGAACCUCAGUGCCAAGGAUUCAUAUAAUCCCGUAUACCAUUCCCUUUGUCCUUCGGUAUGUUACUUGCCCGAGAUUUGAUGGUUGGUAUCCCUAUACCUAGUUCAAUCUCGUUACCGGCAAGUAUCUUUACUCGUUCCGUAAUACAAGAUCUCGUGGAUAACACUUUAGUCACAUUGCUUGCAAGGCUUAUAUGUGAUGUUGUAUUACCGAGUGGUCCCCGAGAUACCUCUCCGUCCCACGGAGGACAAAUCCCAGCCUUGAUCCAUGCUAACUCAAUGGACACCUUUGGAGAUACCUAUACAACACCUAUAAAGUCACCCAAUAACGUUGCGACGUUUUAUACAUACAAGGUAUUCACCCAGUGUCAGUGAGUUACAUGAUCUCAUGGUCAUAGGAAUGAAUACUUGACAUGCGGAAAACGAUAGCAAUAAAAUGACACGAUCACAUGCUACAUUUAUAGUUUGGGUCUUGUCCAUCACAUCAUUCUCCCAAUGAUGUGAUCACACUAUUUUAUUUAAAUGCCUUCCUGUGAGGCCAAAAAUGGUCUCUUAUGAAGGAAAGCUAUUUUUAUUGCUUUCAAAAUAUUUAAGAAAAUUUAGGGAAACUGAGUGGACAUACAUAUUCCGUAUAUAUGAGUUUUAACACAUGGUCAUGUUCAAAAUAUUGGGCAAACCCCUUCAAAACCCUUCCUACCUAUUUCAAGCUUUUGGAAUAUUUCUAUAAGAAAUAUUCUCAAUAAAUUCCUGUAAAAUUCUAGCAUGUCACAUAUGAUAUAUGUGAUGAUCUUGCCAAGUUUCAUCUCAAUCCAAGUUGAUUUGAUUUCCGUAAUUAUUCUAAAACCCUAUUUGUACAAUUCCAAAUUUGAGCAACUCUACAUAGCCAAGUGUCUCCAAUUGUGCUCAAAUUUGGUAGACAUGUUCUGAUACUAUAAUAAUGGAUCCACACCAAGUGGUUCAUCAAGGAGAAUAGAAGAACUGUCCCAAGCCCCUUAGAACCCUCUUUGUUUAUUUUUGACCUUUGGAGACUUUACAUUCUAACAUUUCUCCAAUUGACCCAAAACUUUUUGGGCAUGCUUUAAUGCUCAAUUAAUGCCCCAAACAAAAUAUUGGAUUUGUGGGAAUAUAUUUGAAUAGUUUUGUAAGCAGAAGGACAUUUCUGCACAUUUCAUGGGUUUUCCAAGUCUACAUUGGAAACCUUAUCCACCAAAUGCCAAAUUUGGUGUCCAAGCUUAUUUUCAUCUAUUAUUUCACCCCGUCAAGUUUCACAUCAAUUGAAGUCCAUAUGGUAGCCCUGACACUCAUCAAACACCUUGUGUGCACUCACCAAAGUGGCUACUUUGGCCCCUUUCACAUUUACCCUUGAGCUUAAACUUUUACCACAACCUCCCCUAGUUACCUUUUUUACUCCAGUAGCUUUGCCAUGGCCACUAGUCAAUUAUUGGAGAGAGACUCCUUGUAGCUACCCUUCAUUUUCACCAUGGCAGCACCCUUUUUACCUCUCUUCCUAUACUUCUGCUUAAUCCAAUGCCCCCACAUUCUUCCAGGGCAUCUCUAAUAUGUCAAUGCAUCAUUUCAAACCAAGAUAUGGCAUGCUCAUGUAGGAAAAAUGAGUAGCACAUCUACAAGUUGAUUUCUGGCUGAACUGUAGCUUUGUACAUCACGUACUAGUUACCCUCCUUUGCUUGAGCUCAAAUUUCGCAGUGAUGUAGUCCUUGCAUAGCUAACACUAACAAACAUUGAUUUUCCCCAAGACUCCCCAUUUGAGACCCACUUUUAUUAUCCCUAAGUUUGCUGCUGCAAACUCGAACUCAAUCAAAGCCCAGUCUGACCACCUUCAUGUACUUCCAAACUCCUCAAUCUCCCUCCUGCAAGUAUGACUUACAUGUUGGACUUGUUUGACUCGUCAUGAGGACCCUGUAGACAUAAGUGGCCAUCGAGACCACCACCCUGGCCUGCAACAAGGGUGCUCUGCACCUUGUUUCCUUCUUCGAGAUCUCAUCCGGCCGUUGUUACGUGUCUCAGAGCACCAGGGCAUCCCCCUUGACUGGUCCAAGCCCUCCCCGACGCCUAGAAGCCGCCAAGUUGCCCCUGGCACGCAUGCUCUUGCCGUGCACCGAGCUCCGAGGUGAUCCCCUCCCGUGUCCCCCCUCUACUUAUCCCCUCCCCGGGCCCCCUCUGGCUUUCCCCUCAACCUCUUCUCUCUCCCAGAACCCUCAGCACCUUCCCCCUGUGGCUCCCAUGGCGUCGUGCGGCCGAGGCCGAGCUGGGCGCCAGCUCCUCCGUGGCCAUGUCGUUGGAGAGCUCCGACCCUUCCCCUCGCCCUAGGCCAUGGAACAAGGGCGACACGACCCCCUAGUCUAGUAGGAGCACCGACCGUCGUCGGGGGCGGCCCUAUCAGUCGGGGCAGGCGAGCUCCAGCCAAAUCGAGCUCCUGCCUCUCCCAUGUGCGAGGGGGAGGUAGGAGAUGAUCCUGGCAAGGGGCCCCCCCCUCUAAGCCUCCUCCGGGCCGGGCCCAUGUGAUACGCCCAAACGUAUCUAUAAUUUCUGCUUGUUCCACGAUCUUCUGGGUGACAUUGUUAUAUGUUUUGCUACACUUUUAUAUCUUUUUACACAUAUUUGGACUAACCUACUAACUCAGUGCACCCAGUGCCAUUUCUGUGUGCUGAUGUCUUUUUUUGCAGGGGCUUUUAGCCAAAUUUCCAAAGCCCAAAAAUCCCAAGAAAAAUAUAUAAAAUUCAGCAUGACGGAAGCUUCCCGAUCACCAAAGAUGGGCCAGAGGAGAGCCAGGGGCGGCCCAGGCGGCCACCCUGUGCGGCCUGGCCCCAGGCCGCGCCCACAGGCCGCCUGGGUGAGCUCCACCUCCUCUGAUGCCCUCCUUUGGACUAUAUUUACCCCUCCGAUUGAAAACCCUUGAGGAUAUCCAAAAUCGCUAAUUUCUCCAUCGUUCCGUCGCCGCAGCGCUUCGGAGAUCGGGAGCAUCAGAAGACCUCUUAUCGACACCCUGCCGGAGGGAGGAUUGACCUCCGAGAGCUUCUCCACUGCCAUGGACGCUUCCCGGACGUGCCGUGAGUAGUCCUCCUUGGACCAUGAGUCCAUGACCAGUAGUUAUGUGAUGUCUUCUCUCCAAUCUUGUGCUUCCAUGAUUAGCCCUUGUGAGCUGCCCUAGAUGAUCAAGGCUAUUGCUAUUGCUAUGCUCGGUUUGUUGGGAUCCAAUGGAUUAUGAGAUUAUGCUCUGAUUGUUAUGAUUUAUAUAUUUGAUUAUACUUUUAUAUUAUGUUCUUUAGUGAUUCAUGCAUGUUCUUCGUUGCUCUUUAUUGCUUUGGAAUAGUAGAUUGUAACUCCAAGAGGGAGCGUUAUGCAUUAUUGUGGGUCCAUGCCCCGUGAUGUCUAGCUUGAGUGACAGAAACAUGAGACUAGGGGAUGUGUUGUUGCCACCAGGGAGAAAACAACGGUGCUUGUGACCACAGUUGCAAGGAUUGUUUACCUUAUGCAUAGUUCGUUAAUGCAGUUGUCCGUCGCUUUGAGUUUACACUUUGGGUGGGGCUCGCAACUUAAUACCAGCGAGAUGUUCUGGAUAGAUAUAUAAAGGUGGAUGAUUAGUAAGUAGAUGCUGGUGAAUAAACAGUCUACUUGUCUUGGCGUACUACCCAUUACUAUUGAGCCUCUAACUCUGAAGUAGCAUAAUUAGCAUUGCGGUGUGUUUAUAAUUCUAUCAAUUGCCGAGCUGUAAUUUGUUUACCCAAGCAUAGUUGUUUAUCAUAUUUUGGGAGAGAGACAUCACUAGUGAACAUCAUGUGACUCCGGUCCAUAUCACCAUCAUUGCUUACACCUCCAUCAUUUACUACUUUCAUUUACUUUUCACUUGAAAUCACUAUCACUAUUCCCACGUGUGUUUUGAUCCUUUGCAAACUACAAGGCCAGAGAGAUUGACAAUCUCUCUGUACUCAUUGGGAGCAAAGUUAUUUGUUGUGUGUGCAGGUCCACGUCUUCUGCUAGCGCCAGGGUGGAAGACACCUACUUGUUAAGCCUAGGAGUCCACUUGGUUCGAUAAACCUUACAGUCUCCGUGUAAGGGAAAUUUUUUGCUGACUACAUCUCCACCUUCCACUUCGGGUGACCAACGAGGGGCGAGAAGUAUAUCCAUCAACUCGUCAUCAAGCAAGUUUCUUGCGCCGUUGUCGGGGACUCCAGUCUUCAAGAUAGGGGAGUUGCACACUAUCUUUGACCUUUGCUUUUUAGUCUUGUUAGUUUGCUUUCUAGUUUUUGCUUUAGAGUCUUAUACAAAAAACCACAAAAAAUUAGUUACUUUGCUUUGUUUAGUCAGUAUGCCUAAGUCCUUUGCCUCUAGUGUCGUCCCCGAAGGAGAGAUUCUCACCUUCAAACAAAGGGUUGGAGAAAGUUUGAAAGUUCCUUGGUUUAGAAUUAAAAAUUCUCAAGAUAGAGACACCAAGAAGAAAUCCACCACUAUUUUGCUUAGAAAUUUUUACGUUGGUAUUACUUCUUGGCAUUGGUUUGUUCUAGACACAACAAUAGGAGGGAAUUUCAUGGAAGUUCCCGUUGGGGAGGCAUAAAAGAAAACGCUUGUUGUGAGGCAACCCAAUUCGUUUUUUACUUUCAGUUUUAGUGGUCUUGAUGCUUGUUACUACUUUAGCAACAUCAUUGUAUCUUUAUUUUCAAGCUUUGUGCCAAGUUUUAGCCUCCGAUUAAAAGAAAGUUCAAAAUUGGUGACAUGGUGUCGAGAAAUAGAUUAUGUCUGCUUGACGGAAAAAUUAGCCAAGAAUCACCAGAUCAUCUUUUUAAUCUGAAUUGUUUUUAACGCAUGCUGUAUAUAAUUUUAUUUCUGGCAUGUGUUCUGGAGUUUUUUGAUUCGAGUUGCAGAAGUGCCCUGAAAAAAUUAUUUAAUACUUGUUGUUCUGUUUUUCAUAGCUUGUGACACGUUUUGCGUUUUCAUCAUUUUGCAAAUCUUAAGCUUGCUUUUCUGUUGCAAAAACCUUUUGGCAAUCAUGAUAAACAGUAGAUUUUCAUGAAAAUAUUUAUUUACAAUAGGUGAUAAAUUAUUUUAUCAUGGGUACUAACCACUCUAAUCAUCUUAUGAUGAGUUUCGUAUGAAGGGAGUUUUCAAGUAUGCGAUGGAAGAUGGUGAAAGAAGAUGAAAGAAGAUCCACGAGUGUCAAGCGCUCAAGUUUGGGGAUGCCCCCAUGCACCCCKCAAGAAAUAUUAAAGGAUACUCAAGCAUUUAAGCUUGGGGAUGCCCCCGUGCAUCCCCUUCUCUAUCAACAAUCAUCAGUUCGUCCAUGUCGAUGCUAUAUUUUUACCACUUCAUAUGUUAUGUGCUAUGCUUGGAGCGUCUCGCUCUUCAGUUUUUAGUUUGUUUUAGUUUUUCUUUCUGUUCAUAAAAAGUCGGAACCUAGCCUUCCUUGUUUGGGAGAGAAACACGCUCCAUUCCACUCUAGAACACAACAUAGGCCUUCAUGCUUAUCUUUCUUGUGUGUUCUCUAUCUUUAUGUAGCUGCUAUCAUGCUUAGCUUUUAGUUUUCAUGCUAUAUCCUUUUAAGAGCUUUUUAUUCAGGUUGCUUUUGGAACUCUCUUGAUUUAUCAUGCUUAUCUUGUUUAGAGAAUUGUCUCGUUGCACUGAGUUGUGUGUCUUGCAUGAGUAGGUAAUUGAGGUUGAUAUUUAAGUAUAGUAGUAACUUGCAAUAGUUUUGAGGUAUUGAUUUGAGUAACAUUUGGACUAUUGGUGCCAAGAGCUUGAGCCUAUUAGUGAUAGGUGUCAUAUUUUGGGAAAUCAGUGUGUUUUUCAAAAAUUAAAAAUUAGUUGAGAACUCUAGCUACUAGAUUGAUCGCUAUCCUCUGGAGGGGUUGGAAUAUAUAGAGUACCCUCACGUUACCAUGGGUCGAGGAUGCGCAAGGAUAACCAAACCCCCAAACACUCCUCCUCGGGGUACUUGUUUCUUUGUGAAUCUCCUAACUAGAUAGAGAGUUACCGAUAAUAAGUGUAUGAGUUCUUCGGACUAAUGCGGGUAUUCGAUUGUUGGCACUUCCAGCAUCCAUAGUUUGCUAGCCACUUUGGUAUCAUGCAUUGCCCUUUCUCACCUUGAGAGUUGGUGAAAACUUCACCGGUGCAUCCAAACCCUUGGCAUGAUACGCUGUGUCAUCAUAAGCCUCAUUAUAUUUUCCCUCAAAACAACCACCAUACCUACCUAUUAAGGCAUUUCCAUAGCCUUUCCGAGAUACAUUGCCAUGCAACAUCCACCAUCUCAUGACUUGAUCUUCAUUUCAUACAUGCUUUUGCUUGAUCGAGGAGUCGCGUGCUAGUUGGGCCUUGCCCUUAUUAUUGCUACAUGACGCGCUAGUUUCAUUGCUUAUCCUGCUACACUGGCAGAGGCAUACAUUUGCAUACAUCAUGAUAGCUUUCAUUUGUCUUUAUGUGAGUACUUCUUAUAAAGUGUGAUGAUCUUCUUUUUAUUCUUGUAAAACAUAGAGUGUUUCCCUUAAGUGAGGAAAAGAUCCCAAAGAGNAUAAAAAAAUAAAAUAAAAUAAAAUAAAAAGAAAAAAGGAAAGAAAUAAAAAGAGAGAAGGAGAAACACUACUAUUCCUUUUGAAAGAUGCACCCUCGUACUCCAUUGCUAUAUUUGUACUCCAUAGAGAUUAUCCUUCAUGCAUAACUAUGUGGGGACCCUUACACUAUAGAACUUGGCUUGUAUAUUCCAAUGAUGAGCCUCCUCAAAUGAGCUCUAGGUCUUCAUGAGCAAGCAAGUUGGAUGCACUGUAACACCCCAGAUUUUUUUUAAUAAAAUUUGGCCUAAGUUGUUUUUGAAAUUCAUUUCUGGGUUUUGUGAUGAUUCCAAAACCCCUCUUAUCCUUGAUUUCAUUAAUAGCUCUUCCUUGAGAUAGAGCUUUUAAAAUUUAUUUGUGGCUUGGAUGUUGACUCUAACAUUUUUUUUCUCCACUAAAUAUUCUGGAUAAGACUUUUCUUUAAUUAUUACCUUCCCUUUUCUAUUCUUUCAACACUAGUUUUAAAUUUUCCCAGAUCCAGUUUUGAACUACAGCUGCCUGUUAACCUCUUCUAAUUUUUUCCGAAAUAGCUUCACAAUUACAUACUAUGUUCCUCAAUCAAUUUUAUAUAAGAAUUGAACCAACUAUUUUGGUAGGAUUAAGCAAAUUAAUUAAUCUUAUUUCCUGGUCCAAUUAUAGAUUUGCACUACAACCCCUUUAGUUAAGGUCCCAAAAAUUCUGUAAAAAUUUACAGUAGCCAAGGGAUUCUUACAAACGAGUUUUAUGCAAAAACCUAGCCAAGUGUUUUGGGAAAAUAUUUAUUUUUGCCAUAUUUUCUGUUAUGUUCCAAAUAGGUGCUUUACACUACAACCUCCUCAUUAAAGUCUCUAAUAAUUCUAUAAAAAUUUGGAGGUGUCCAGAAGUUUAUAUGGAUGAGUUUUCUGCAAAAAUAAAUGUUGGUAUUUUGGAAUAUUGGACCAUAUUGACCUUUUGAACUACAACCCCACCUUUUCCUUCCCCAAUGCUUUUGGAAAUUUUUGUGCUUGUAGUCCACCCUGUUAAACCCUUAAGUCCCAAAUUUCAACUUCAUUCGAAUUAUUUUUACCCCUGUUACACUGCUACUUUGUUUCUGUCCAGAAAUGGGUUUUACUAAACUUGCAUUGUGGAGUUGCUAGAUGAGGCCUUGCCAUCUUUGAGCACAUCCAGGGAGACACCUAUCUGGUAAUUCCCAUGGCCAGAAAGUGCCCCUAGAGGCCAUUGGCAUUCUGUCGAAAACCUGUUGACCAUGAGCAUAAUUGGCAUGCCUUUUUGUUUGUAUGAUGAGGUUAGGCCCGAGCCCAAACCAGCAUGUCCAGCAAGCCUUUGCCAUCCCCAUCCUUGAAUCUGGAGACUUUCUUCUCCAUCCACAAGCUCUUGCCUGCCCUCGCAUUCUGUCGAGCACCUAGCAGGUGUGCCAGUGCAUGUUGUAGAGCGUGUAUAUCGCAGAGAGAGCACCCGAGCCGCCGCGUCACGUGUUGUGUUGUUUCCCUUGUUGCCCAAGGCACGCGAGCGCGUGAGCUCACUCGCAUGAGUCCCUCCUGCGUUCCUGUAACCUCUGCUGCCAUCCUGCACCCCUGCUCCACCACAGCUGUGCUGCCCAUUGUCUCCAGCAGCCCUGCGCAGUGCCGCAGCAUCGCCCCAGCAACCCUAGCACGACGCCAGCACCUUGGACCACCCGUGUGACGAACCAGAGCUCCCCUUGACUCGUCGCUACGUCACUGCCACCCCUCGUGCCCUUGCUAGAGUCUGUUCUUGGUGUUCGUAUCCUCUCCACCGCAGAACCGUUUGCCCCGGAUAUUUAAGGAGCCCCUGACGGUUGAAGCCCGAUGAAAAGCAUCCCCUUGAAGCCAUAGCUAGCUCCCCAAGCCCCAAUUUAAGCCAUAGCUCUCUUCUUCCCCGGUUCUGGUGAGCUCCAUCCCGGGAGCCACCCCGGAGCGAUUCGAGCUAGCCAGAGUCUCUCCGUCCCACCCGAGCUUGCCAUUGAUUCCCCCUGGACCUCCCGGAGUUUUUCCCUAGCUCAGCCCUGCCCUAGAACCCCUCCUAGCUAUUGCCCCGCCGGAGCCGAAGCUUCCCUCCGCCGCGGAGGAAGGGCCACUGAACGUGGACCAUCCCCGCAGCCCCAAGGCAUGGGAACGGAUGCGCCUCAUCGCCCUGAGCACUCCGGUGCCCUUGGUUUCCCCGAUGGAGGUCUUCAUCACCGGCGAGUCUCGCGGGAGCCCCUCCUUCCUUCGGCCAGAGGAGGAAGAAGGAGGUCGGGUGAAACCUACCAGCGGGCCCCGCUCGUCAGCGUCCCACUCCUUCGGCCCGAGCCUGCGCAAGUGGAAGGGCACUAUGCCAAGUACGUUUCCCCUCCUCUGCUAGCGUCUUUUGACCGAAAACGUUUUCCUUCAUUUGUGUUUUAAAAAAGAUUCUGUUCAAAAAAAAAUUUGGCCACAACUUUUUAUAGGAAGCUCCAAAUGAGUUGAUUCUUCUUCUCACCCCUUUCAAAUUCUGUCUAGUUUAUUUUAGUAUUUAUUUAGAAAAAAUCUAAUACAAAUUUUUGUGCUGUUUUUGAAUUGUGUAUUAAUUAGCAUAUAUUCUUAAAUAGGCCUUGAAGAGAGGAUUAAAACUUGCAAAAGUUUUGUGAUGAACUCCACCUCUCUACAGUUGGAAGGCAAGCAUCUUGAACCCACUUUUUUAUCUUGGUCAUAUAUGUUUGCCUGUUGAUAGUGACAUGGGAUUAUGUUACUCUUUUGGUGUUAUUUCAUGUGGCAAAUCAUGCAUGUGGAUACAUGAUUUCGAGGAUAAAAGUUUCUAUGAAUUUGGUGCACGGAUACUGGUCACCCCUUCCUGCCCUACAUGCCUACCGAAUGAGGUUCGGUGAGAGUCGUGGUCCUGUGGAGACACGACCAUGGAUUGACAUCUCGUGGAUGAGGUCAAAAAGACAUGUUGGGUGGGCAGUGACUCUAUCUGUACCCGGUUUUUACUAAUCAUGCAGGUCGCGUUUAAACCUCCUAAGUCGACAAUAGAUCGAGUCUUGUCAGUAUGUCUCCUCACUUGCGUGCUACCAUAGCUACCUGGAUAAUGGAUCUGGUAUAGUUAGUUGUGGACCUAUUAUUAAUCACACACCAUUAGAGGUGCCGGGAUGAAGGUAUCCACGGCCAUGGUACAAAUCCAGUCAUACAUUCAGGGGGCAUGGGUGUUUCCGGUCUGGGACCGGAAGGGAGGGCACUCCCAUGAGUGCGCGAUAUAAAUAUUGUGAUCCCAUGCUAGUCGAGGUCGGAGCCUCCUCGUCUUAUGGUUUUACCUUGGCAGUGUAGUCCGGAUGAGACCGGGCUUCGCGGAGGUAAAGUGAAUGUGUGUUGAUUCUGAGUGUCCACUUCUAAAAUACCGUACACGGGAUUAGUCAUGAUGUGUAUUGAAAACCGUAAACUAUGGGUUAAGAAUACACCCUCUGCAGAGGCAAAACUAUUCGAGUAGUCGUGUCCACGGUCAAGGACAUUGGUUGAUUAGCCAAGUGUCGGUCUUCAGAGGUGGUUAGAGGAAAGUUACACAAAUAUGGUGAUAUGGUUGAUGAUUAUAAUUAUUAUAUUCUGAAGACUAACCAUUAUGAUUUUAUUGUCGGAUAUCCUUGGAAUGGUUCUACCUCUUGGAUAUUCUUUAUUAUCAUUUCUUAUAAGCCCUUUAUGUGGUGUCGCUGAGACGUCGGACUGUGGCAUUGUUUUAUCAUUUCUUAUAAGCCCUUUAUGUGGUGUCGCUCAGACACCCGACUAUGGCAUUCUUUUAUCAUUUCUUAUAAGCCCUUUAUGUGGUGUCGCUCACACGCCCGACUGUGGCGUUGUUUUAUCAUUUCUUAUAAGCCCUUUAUGUGGUGUCUCUCAGACGCCCGACUGUGGCAUGCUUUAUAAUGCAUCUGUUAUUAUUAUCUAUUAGGAUGGCCUAACAAAUUCAGUAUGAUUAUUACUUUACUACUAAUGCUAGACUAGUGUUUUCACUUGUUGUAGUAUUCUGGUAUUAUUAUGUGUGUUGAUUAACCCGUCAAGUCCUAUGUUUGUAUUCUUGAUGUUUGCGAGUAAAUUCAAAGUACUCACUGGCUUGUCCCUGGCUAUUAUCUUGGCCAGGUAGCGUGCUUUGGAAGGUUGAUCCUGUCGUCUAACCCCGGGCAUAGACAUCGAAGGCAGCUUCCGUGCGAGAUAGGAGUUAACCCGGUAAGUUGUUCAUGUGGGAAAUGGAGUCCCAGAGGAGUUGGAGAUCCGUGUAGCGCUUUCGCCAUCAACCUCUAGAAACCCUUUUGAUAUACUCAUCAGACCACCUUGGUCUUGUACUUCAAUUUGUAUUUUUCUUGGAUAUUUGUAUCAACGAAAGGUGUGCCACCUAACAGUAUUCCUGGGGCUGGUAUGCUUGAGGGCCAUUUGAAGGGAAAUGUAAAUCCUUGAAAAUCCGGUCCCCACAACCUUGGUAUCAGAGCGAGGCUAACCGUUGGCUAAUCCUAUCUUAGCGAGGUCAAUAAGCCCUAGAAGACCACCUAUCCACCAGUGUCGCAACCACCACUCUAGUCUGCCCUAGCCUGUAGCCAAAUAGUGUCCGCUAACACCUUUAGGCAAGGCGGUGCCCAACCUAUCAGGCUAGCCCCAUGGUCAUACGCCAUUGGCCACGACCAUUUUGUCCUUUCUCGCAAUCUUGCGAGAGAAGACUCACUUUUCCUUUCUAUAAAGGGAGCGAUUGCCCAGCACAUCACGACCACAACCAUUUCAAGAUGCCAGGCCCCAUUAUUCACAAUAAACCACUGCCGCAGACCAAGGAGGUUUUGUAGCCAUCUUAGCCAUCCUGAUCCGUCGUGCCUUCGCUAUGGAAGAGCCUCCAGAGUAUGUUGUGUACCAAGGGCGCACGGGUGGUGACAUUCGUCACUUCUGGGCCACAGUACAGAUCUACGGCAGGAGUAUCACCCAAGAGCGUCCCCAUCGGUUCACCGCAAGGUCAACUUCCUAUGAGCCCAAAGCCACCCAGCUGGCAGCUCGAGAGGCAAUAGUUCAACUCAGGCACCAAUCGCCCGAAGUUAACUGCCGCUCAUUCUACUAGUACCCUAGCCGUGAAGGUUAUGGUAGGCCGGUCCAAGUUGCCAGCGGAGACCAGGAGACCGACCCUGCUUUGUUGCACCUUGUGCGCUACGUGAGAGCGCAAGAGGCACUGUAUGACCAGGUCACCCUUGACCUGCUCGCAGCUCGUGCAAAGCUAGCCCGUCGAAGGAGGAGAGAAGCGGAGCCCGAAGCCAGCAACCCUGUAGUGUUGUUUGGGAGACCGAUUGACCUCUAGCGGUCUGUCCCAGCUGUCGACCCGAACCAUGCGCCUAUCUCCCACGAGGAGCUUCGCCCCAUUUUGGGGAUUUCCUCCAACAGAACGAUAGCUACAGCACCCUGCCACACAUACCGUCGCUACCCCAACCUCAUAGCACCAACCCCUUCCCCGAGUAAGCGUGACACCGUAGUUCUGGCAAACUCAACGUCCGCAAGACCCAUUCAUCUAGAUGUAAAUGAAGUAGACUAAGCCCUAACCCUGCUAUGGAACUCGCUUGCAUGUAAUAUACGAGCUGUAUUUCAUUAAGCAAGCAAGCUGUCUGCGUCCAUUGUUUUAAGCCCCGUAGGUAAUCACUUAUGUAUGAUUUUGGGCUACAUAACUAUAGUUGGGCGUAACCUCAGGAAACCUUUUCCGAACAGUCUGCCAUAGUGAGGUGUCGUGUUUCGUAAGACUUUUAUCGUUGGCCUUGACCAGACCACGUUAAAAGCAAGACCAACCACCGAGACCAAGCCACCUCAGAGUUUGUGCCAAGCCAGUCCUAUAUAAGGAUCACCAAGUGAUUCUUCCGGUAUUGCCACCUCGUGCACUACCUUCAUACCCUUUUGCCAUGCAACCCCAAGGGAGUUACUUCAGAACCCCGGAUGCUACUCCGGACAGUGUUGGUAAAGUAUUGUGGGAUUUCACCCGUAGUACCAUGGGUUCUUCCCUUCCACCCCAGUACGAGCUGUUCAAAUCGAGGAUCACUUCCACCACCUUGAAAUAUUGGGCAGUUGUGCAUGUCUUCCCAGUAGACCCAAACCAAGACCCCACGGGAAUCUGCUUCAGCGGAAAAUCCAUGCCUACCCUCGAAAUGACCAUAGAGGUUGCUGCCUACGAAGCGGUUACUCACCUACGUUAUGCAGUGCCAUAUGCCAGUGAGAGGGGGUACUGUGGUUUUCCGAGCCGAGCGGUACCCGGAGGAACAAUGUCUGUUUCAGACCCUUGUUCAGAGAGGCACCCCGUGUUGGUCACGCUCGUGCAAUUAAUAUGUCAUUGCCCAGGAACACUUGACCCAGAGAGUGAUGGAUUUCCUCCAGAACCUCGCCAUCCAGGACCCUCAGAUCGCCAUCGGCGAACCCCUAAGACUAGACCCAGCAGGACGCACUCUGUGGAUCCUUCAACCGCUAGGCCUCGAGGACGAAGGAGAUGUUCCGCUACCCGAGAUAUUUUUGCUUGACCCCUAGCCUUGUGUUCCUUGAGCGCUUUGUUUCUACUUGCUAGUCUAGAUCCAGAUUGUUUAGAGCAACAGUUGUGCCUCACCUUGUAAAUUACUGCAUGCUUGUGUGUAUAUCAGUUGUGUGAUUGCUAUGCAUAUUCUCGGAUUAUUUUUCACAGGCCGAUUCUUUAGUUUAUGUUCACUCCGGCUGUAAGAUUUUUUCAUAGUAGGAUUUUAUUCACGCGCCAACUGUCUUACAACCACACUCGUUCCGCCACUACACUGACAACAGGACCACUCUUACGCUUAGUUAACACCUUGCUAAACACCACAGUUUUCCAUGUGGAAUACGUUAUGGAUGUCUUUAUUUUUGCACGGUGACGACCAACACACUGGCAAUCACCCAUGCACCCGUGCACACGCCUAGUAGUCGUGCUCACCGCCUUUGCGUAGAGACGCCACCAGAGCAGCAGCGUCGUGACGAUCAUCAUGGAUCAUCGCGCACAGCAGCACCGAGGACCCAAUCAGCAGCGCCACCCCUCCAGCUAGCAGGAUGAUCACCCACCCCGGAUGCCCGUUCACCAUUGGAGCUUCGCUUCGAGCUUCUGCUAGCAAAGGAGACGAGAGGAGGAAGCAGGAGAGAGUGAGGUCGAGUGUGAGGUAGACGAGACAACGAUGAGGUCGUUUUAUAGCUUGAGAUUGGUGUGCGAUGGACGCAGUCCACCAGCGCCGCUCGUCGCUCGAUCGCCGGUGUUCGGAAGCGAAUCCACGAGCAGUGCCGACAAGCGCUGGCCCACGAUGCGAGUGCACGCUGCACCAGCCGCUAGCACGUCGCGCACUACCGUUGUAUGACCCUAGACGCCUACACGCUUGAUGCCACGCGUGGAGAAGCUCGUAGAGCACGCGAGAGAGAGGUGAGAGCCGAAGGAAGAAGAAGAGGCUGAUGGUGGGACCUCGACCCACAUGUCAGUAGGAGGGAGCACUGUGCCGUCGUGUACGGCAAGUAAAUUCGGAAAUUGGAAAAAUUCCUUUUUUCAAAAUUAUUUUUGUCAUAGCCAUUCAUAGCAACACCUCGUUUUGCCAAACCAUAGCUUUUUUCUGUAUCACCAGUAUCACACUGUAGCUGCACCGAUUAUUGUUUUCACUAUGAUCUCCUUGCUUCUGUUUCUAUCCCAUCAGAGGUUUGUUUCUAACAAAUCUCGAGGAUGAGAUUUUUUUCCAGGGGGGUAGAGUUUGUAACACCCCAGAUUUUUAUAUAAUAAAAUUUGGCUUGAGUUGUUUUUAAAUUUCGUUUAUCGGGUUUCUGAUGAUUCCAAAACCCCUCUUAUCCUUAGUUUCAUCAAUAGCUCUUCCUUGAGCUAGAGCUUUUGAAAUUUAUUUGUGGCUUGGAUGUUGACUCUAACAUUUUUUCCUCCACUAAAUAUUGUGGAUAAGACUUUUCUUUAAUUAUUACUUUCCAUUUUUUAUUCUUUCAACACUAGUUUUAAAUUUUCCCAGAUCUAGUUUAGAACUACAGCUGCCUAUUAACCUCUUCUAAAUUUUCUUUCCCAAAUAACUUGAUAAUUACCUACUAUGUUCCUGGAUCAAUUUUAUAUAAUAAUUGAAUCAAGUGUUUUGGUAGGAUUAAGCAAAUUAAGUAAUCUUGCUUCCUCGUCCAAUUGUAGAUUUGCACUACAACCCCUUUAAUUAAGUUCCCAAAAAUUAUGUAAAAAUUUAUAGUAUCCAAGGGAUUCUUACAAAUGAGUUUUAUUGAAAAACCUAGCCAAGUGUUUUGGGAAAAUAUUUAUUUUUGCCAUCUUUUCUGUUUUGUUCCAAAUAGGUGCUUUACACUACAACCUCCUCAUUAAAUUCUCUAGUAGUUCUAUAAAAUCUUGGAGAUGUCCAGAUGUUUAUAUGAAUGAGUUUUCUGCAAAAAUAAAUGUCGGUCUUUUGGAAUAUUUGAGCACCACCUCUUGAUUUGUGAUGUGGACCAGAUUGACCUUUUGAACUACAACCCCACCUUUUCCAUCCCCAAUGCAUUUGGAAUUUUUUGUGCUUGUAGUCCACCCUGUUAAAACCUUAAGUCCCAAGUGUCAACUUCAUUGGAAUUAUUUUUACCCCUGUUACACUGCUACUUUGUUUCUGUCCAGAAAUGGGUUUUUACUAAACUUGCAUUGUGGAGUUGUGGAGUUGCUAGAUCAGGCCUUGCCAUCUUUGAGCACAUCCAGGGAGACAUCUAUCUGGUAAUUUCCAUGGCCAGCAACUGCCCCUGGAGGCUAUUGGCAUUCUAUCGAACACCUGUUGACCAUGAGCAGAAUUGGCAUGCCUUUUUGUUUGUAUGAUGAAGUUAGGCCCUAGCCUAAACCAGCAUGUCCAGCAAGCCUUUGCCAUCCCCAUCCUUGAAUCUGGAGGCUUUCUUCUCCAUCCCCAAGCUCUAGCCUGCCCUAUCAUUCUGUCGAGCACCUUGCAGGUGUGCUAGUGCGUGCUCUAGAGCGUGCAUAUCGCAGACAGAGCACCCGAGCCGCCGCGUCACGUGUUGUGCCAUUUCCCUUGCUUCCCAAGGCACCAGAGCACGUGGGCUCACUCGCAUGAGUCCCUCGUGCGUUCCUGUAUCCUCUCCUGCCCUCCUGCACCCCUGAUCCACCACAGCCACGCCGCCCGUUGUCUCCAGCAGACCUGCGCAGCGCCGCAGCACCGCCCAAGCAACCCAGCACGACGCCAGCACCUUGUACCACCCGUGCGACGAACGAGAGAUCCCCUUGACCCGUCACUGCGUCACCGCCGCCCCUCGUGCCCUUGCUAGAGUCUGUUCCCGGCGUUCUUAUCCUCUCCACCAGGGAACCGACGGCCCCAGCUAUUUAAGGAGCCCCUGACUGUUGAAGCUCGACGAAAAGCAUCCCCUUGAAGCCAUAGCCAACUCCCCAAGCCCCAAUUUAAUCCGUAGUUCUCUUCUUCCCUGGUUCCGGUGAGAUCCAUCGCUGCAGCCACCGCGGAGAGAUUCAAGCUUGCCAGAGUCACUCUGCCCCACCCGAGCCCGCCAUUGAUUCCCCCUGGACCUCCUGAAGCUUUUCCCUAGCUCAGCCCUGCCCUAGAACUCUUCCUAGCUAGUGCCCCGCUAGAGCCGAAGCUUCCCUCCGCCGUGGAGGAAGGGACGCUCAACUCCGACCACGCCCGCAGCCCCAAGGCACGGGAAUAGAUCGCGCCUCAUCACCUUGAGCACGCCGGUGCCCUUGGUUUCCCUGAUCGGAGGUCUCCACCGCCGGCGAGCCUCGCCGGAGCCCCUCCUUCCUUCGGCCAGAGGUGGAAGAAGGAGACCGGGUCAAACCUGCCAGCGGGCCCCGCUCGUCAGCGUCCCACCCCUUCGGCCUGAGCCCGCGCAAGUGGAAAAGCGCACUACGCCAAGUACGUUUUCCCUCCUGCGCUAGCGUCUUUUGACCGAAAACGUUUUCCUUCAUUUCUGUUUUUAAAACAUAUUCUGUUCAAAUUUUGUUUUGGCCACAACUUUUUAUAGGAAGCUCCAAAUGAGUUGAUUCUUUUUCUCACCCCUUUAAAAUGCUGUCUAUUUUAUUUUAGUAUUUAUUUAAAAAAAUCUAUGACAACUUUGUGUGCUGUUUUUGUAUUGUGUGUUAAUUAGCAUAUAUUCUUGGACUCCACCUAUCUACACUUGGAAGGAUUAAAACUUGCAAAAGUUUUGUGAUGAACUCCACCUAUCUACACUUGGAAGGCAAGCAUCUUGAACCCACUUUUUUUUCUUGGACAUAUAUGUUUGCCUGUUGAUAGUGACAUGGGAUUAUGUUACUCUUAUGGUGUUAUUUCAUGUGGCAAAUCAUGCAUGUGGAUACAUGAUUUCGAGGAUAAAAGUUUCUUUGAAUUUGGUGCAUGGAUAGUGGUCACCCCUUCCUGCCCUACAUGCCUACCGAAUGAGGUUUGGUGAGAGUCGUGGUCCUAUGGAGACACGACCAUGGAUUGACAUCUCGUUGAUGAGGUCAAUAAGGCAUGUUGGGUGGGCAGUGACUCUAUCUAUACCCGGGUUGUACUAAUCAUGCAGGUAACGUUUAAACCUCCUAAGUCGACCAUAGAUCGAGUCUUGUGAGUAUGUCUCCUUACUUGCGUGCUACCAUAGCUUCCUGGAUAAUGGAUCAGGUACACUCAGUUGUGGACCUAUUAUUAAUCACACACCAUUAGAGGGGCCGGGAUGAAGUUAUCCACGACCGUGGUAUAAAUCCAGUCAUACGAUGAGGGCGCAUGGGUGUUUCCCGUCUGGGACCGGAAGGGAGGGCACUCCCAUGAGCGUGCGAUAUAAAUAUUGUGAUCCCAUGCUAGUCGAGGUCGGAGCCUCCCCGUCUUAUGGUUUUACCUUGGUAGCGUAGUCCGGGUGAGACCGGGCUUCGUGGAGGUAAAGUUGGUGUGUGUUGAUUCUGAGUGUCCACUUAUAAAAUACCGUACACGGGAUUAGUCAUGAUGUCUAUUGAAAACAGUGAACUAUGGGUAAAUAGUACAUCCUCUACAGAGUCAAAACUAUUCGAGUAGCCGUGUCCACGGUCAAGGACGUUGGUUGACUGGCCAAGUGUCGGUCUUUGGAGGUGGUUAGAGGAAAGUGACACAAAUCCGGUGAUAUGGUUGACGAUUAUAAUUAUUAUAUUCUCAAGACUAACCAUUAUGAUUUUAUUGUCGGAUAUCCUUGGGACGGUUCUACCUCCUGGAUAUUCUUUAUUAUCAUUUCUUAUAAGCCCUUUAUGUGGUGUCGCUCAGACGCCCGACUGUGGCAUUGUUAUAUCAUUUCUUAUAAGCCCUUUAUGUGGUGUCGCUCAUACGCCCGACUGUGGCAUUGGUUUAUCAUUUCUUAUAAGCCCUUUAUGUGGUGUCGCUCAGAUGCCCGACUAUGGCUUUGUUUUAUCAUUUCUUAUAAGCCCUUUAUGUGGUGUCGCUCAGACGCGCGACUGUGGCAUACUUUAUAAUGCAUAUGUUAUUAUUAUCUCUUAGGAUGGCCUAACAAAUUCAAUAUGAUUAUUACUUUACUACUAAUGCUAGAAUAGUGUUUUGAGUUGUUGUAGUAUUCUGGUAUUAUUAUGUGUGUUGAUUAACCUGUCAAGUCCUAUGUUUGUUUUCUUGAUGUUUGCGAGUACAUUCAAAGUACUCACUGGCUUGUCCCUGGCUAUUGUCUUGGCCAGGUAGCGUGCUUGGGAAGGUUGAGCAUGUCGAUGAACCCCGGGCAUAGACAUUAAAGGCAGCUUCCGUGCAAGAUAGGAGUUAACCCGGUCAGCUGUUCCUGUGGGAAAUGUAGUCCCAGAGGAGUUGGAGAUCCCUGUAGCGCUUCCGCUAUCAACAACUAGAAACCCUUUUGAUGUACUCAUCAGACCACCUUGGUCUUGUACUUCAAUUUGUAUUUUUCUUGGAUAUUUGUAUCAAGGAAAGGUGUGCCAGCUAACAGUAUUCCUUGGGCUGGUAUGCUUGAGGGCCAUUUGAAAGGGAAAUGUAAAAUCCCCGAAAAUCCGGUCCCCACAUACACCCCCACUAGGUCCAUUGGAGCAAAGUUGUCAGAAUCGCGACUCAAGUCUUAGAAUCUUACGACUUUACGAUCCAAACUAGCCCCUCUGAUUCUACGAUUUUGCUCAUAGAAUCUAAGAUUCUACGAUCCUGGUAGUUAUGAUUCUACGAUUCACGAUCCUACCAACAGAGCUCCGAUCCGAUUCAGAAUCGCGAUUCUGACAACCUUGCAUUGGAGAGCUUACCUUAGCUCAUAUGUGCAUCCAUUGCAUGGCAAUCCCUACUCCUCACAUCAUAUCUAUCAUUUGGCUUUCUCUCGCCUAUGGUUGUCCUCAUUGAUGUGAGCCUUUCACACCUUUUUGUCU
rnacentral:lncRNA from 1 species